GGUCUUUGCGACCCGUGAAUUUUAUGAAAGAAUUGUGACACUGAAUGUACAAUCAGCCAGCCAUCAACGUAAACGCUAAUGUUUGUUGCCGCAAUACGUCAUUGAUCAACGGUCGACUUAAUUCAAGUAGAUUUGUGUUGAAAAAAGAUCACAAGCACAGAGAUCAGUCGAGUCAUUCGUUCCCAACAUCGGGUUUCUUUGUUCCCCUCUUCCUCUCUCUCUCUCUCUCGUUACGAGGCAGGCUACUGCAAGUAGAAGGCAAAGAAGGAGAGGACGGCGGCCCCAAAGGCGGCUCCAACAGCAGGGGUGAUCGCGAAGGACGCGCUGGCGGGGCCGGGAGCCGGAGCCUCGGCUGCAAGGGCGGUGGUGGCCGACGCGGCGGCGACGAGGACGGCACAGGCGAUCUUUCCCAUCUCCAUUUCUGGCGGCGGUGUGGCUUUAGAGCUGCGGAAGAGAUGAUAGAGAGGGAGAAAGAGAAACUUUCUUAGGAUGGCUUGUUCCUCCUCCUCCUCUGCAGGCCUGAGGAGGAAUGUGGGAUGGGAAGGAGGGUUUUCUAGGGUGUUUCCGUGGUCGGGAUGGAUAGUCGGAGUCGGAGAUGCCAACUUCAAAGCUGUGCGUUGUAAUUAGAGGAGCGUUUUGCGUGCGUGGGAAUCGGUCAUUUGGUCAACCUCGUUGACCUGGGCCAGUUGUGAAGCUUAAUGUAAAAAAAGCUUAUAAAUUAUAUCCGACCAAUAAAAAAAUAUUAUCUUAUUGCCCCAGCAGACCAUAUGAGUUGGAAUUCCUUUUAGCUUGAUCCAUUUAUUCGGUUUCAAUUUUACGUGUAAAGCGUAUAUAAUUUAUAUGUGAGAAUACUUCUCUGACUACUAAAGUUUUUGGAAUUAUUAAUAUAUAUAUAUAUAUAUAUAUAUAUAUAUAUAUCUCUCUCUCUCUCUCUCUCUCUCUUCUAUCCGAACCGAACCGAACCGGCCCGAACCAAUCCCACCCCUCCCGACUCAUUUCCGGCUCUAUCUUGCUUCUGCUGCUGUCAUCGUUCCUUCCCCCGUCCAUGGCGGAAGCAAAAGCUGAGACACCCACCUGGGAGCAAAGAAUGCACACUCUCACCCACAUCUUAACCCACCCCACCACUGCGCCAUCCCUCCACUCCCAGCUCUUCGUUGCCUCCCACGUCCCCUGCUUCCUCUCCUGGGAUUACCCCCCUUUCCUAUGCCGCCCGGCCCCUUUAGCCGCCGGAUUCCCCCCGCCGCUUCUCCGCUGGUCCUUCGCCAUCUUCCUCCGCCGCUCCUCGCGCCUGGGCCUACCCGCCUCUUCCUGGCGCGCCAAGUGCCCCUUCCAGCAGCCGCCGCCCCUCGUCCUCUCCUCCGCCGUGGACCCGCCGCCUCUUCGCUGGGGGCCAGAGGAGCGCCGGGAGUCCGUUCGCAAGCGUCUGAGGCGGGGGCGGAUCGGUGUCAGGGUCUCGCCCGUCCUGGCCUUCGCGGUUCCCAAUCUCGCGCUCCUCUCGCUUCUCUUCUGGGAACCGCUCUGGCGUCUUCCGGAGACCUAAAGUUGACGCCCGGUACGCUUUUGUUCAGAAUCCAAUCAUCGUAUAAGCUUUCUGUGGCUUUCUGUAAUAGCAGAGACUACAUAGAGGAUGAAUUCAGUGCUUUCAUUAGAACAUGGCUACCGCAUAUGGAUAAUUGUUUUUUUUAUAUAUUUUUGGUUGGAAAACUGUAUAAUUUAAUCCAGAAAAAAAUGAUUUAUGAUUUAGAAUCAUUCAUGCAUUAGCCUAAUAUAGAUCAACGUGAACUCUCUUUGAUAAACUAAAAUAUUAAAAUGCUGGUCAAAACGAUUAAUCUUAUCUGAUAUAUUUUGAAGUUAACACAGCAAAAGGAUUCACAAAUAAAAACGCAAACGUCCGUAAAUUGUUGAAGCUUCCACAAAAGCCAGACAGACUAAGCAAUAAAUUUACCCUUUUAUUUUUGGUUGUCUCGUAAUACCUUCUACAACUUGGCCAACUCCUGACUGAAUAGAAGUAAUCUAGUCUAGUUAGUAAAGAUUUUGACAGUAAGUUCUUGAGCUCAAAUCUCACCUUAGUUAUUUGCCCUUUGCAAAAAAAAAAACUUAAAAUGCUGAUUGAUGCCACCAGAAGUUCCAAUUUCUCUGACUAAUAGACUUUUUAUUUGAUGUAUUUAUUCAUGGUUGUCCUCAAGUCACAGGAUUUGAUCAAUUCUGUAAACUAUGGCUAUAAGCAGUGGCAGGAUAAUCUGACACUGACUUUGUUAUCACAUCAUCAUAGAGCUAGUUGAUUACAAUUAGUUUUCUUGUAUGCCUUUUUUUCUUCAUGUAUGUCAUCCUGCAUAAAAUCGUAAAACUUGUAAGUUAUUAAAAAAAAAAAAAAAAAAGCUUUUGAUGGUGGGAGUUUAUUGACUAGGUUAACAAACUGCAAGUUCAUGUUGAAGAUUUUCCAUUCACAUAAUAUUGUUUAAGAUCAAACAAGGGGUUCAUUCCUUGUCUCAUAUAAAAAGAUAAGAUUAAUAUGACAUGUCUGGAGAUAGAUUAUCUCUAGAAUAAAAGUCUGCAGCAUUUUGUUUGAUGCAGCAGCAAAGUUAACUGUCAGAUAUGUGAUUAUUUUGUGGCUAUUACAAAUUUUUUUAUGUGUGGUAUCAUUACGGUGCCCAAAAGGCAUUAAGAAAUUAAGUUUAUCAUGAUUUUAGACUGAUGUGGUCAGUGUGGUUUCAGAUGAGAUGUUUUAGCCUUCAUCAUGAGCACAAUGUAUUCAUUUGUUGUGACCUUCAUUUGGGAAUUGCGGAAUCUAAUGCCAAGGUAUUAAUAAUGGAUAAAGAACUUACAUCUGGUCAGAUAAAAAUAGUAAAUAAUAAUAUCUUAUUAUAAUGAUUGUAUUUGAUGAAUUACCUUUUUGCUAUUUGAGCAAAGCAAACUGGAAAUUGCAUCUGCCAGUAUAGUUUCAUAGAGACAUUUUUUUCUGGAAUGUUUAAUACUGGUUUAAAUAGGUGUCUGGGCACUCGUCCAAGUGUUUGGGUGAGGUGAGGUGAGGCCUGAGCACCUCAGGCUUCGACCAGGCGGCACGCUUCAACGAAGCAUCGCUUGGGCACUCACUUGAACCCAGGUGCCUGGCGCCUCAAGCGAGCGCUCGAUUCAAACGAAGCAACCGAAUCAGACUUUUUAAGUCUGGUUAGGUUGAACAGUAACUAGUUGGCUCGAUUGAACCAACUAAGCUCGAACAAAUGCUUGGUUCAAAUGAAGCAACCGUGCUAGACUUUUUAAGUCUGAUUUUGUUGAACAGUAGCUAGAUGGUUUGAUCGAACCAACUAAGCUAUGUACUAUUACUGUACAUCGCUGGCCCUCCCCGCAUGACCCCGAGCCAUGAACCCUAGCGCAGCUACUACCUCCGCUACCAAUCUACAGGACUGACACUUCCUCGAUCGUAGAUGGACAGGUCCGAUGGCCUAACCUUUAUACGCGGUUCCUUCCAUUAUUGCUACUUCCAUGUGCAACUCCCUCCACUGUCGAGGGAGAGGACCACAGCUUCAUCUAUCAUCGACGGACACCUUUGAAGCUUCCUUCACCCACGACAUCAUUGUCCACAACUUUUGUCAUAUUUGCUACUGCCAUUUGCAGCUUUCUUCUCCGUUGUUGUUGUCGUUCGAAGCUUUUGCCUCCGUUGUUGUCGUCUAAAGCUUCCUCCGCCACUAUUGCUGUCGUCUGUAGCUUUCUCCAUCGUCGUCGUCGUUUGUCCGAAAGUUCCUUCAUAUAUAUAUAUUUGAAGUCUUAUCCUUCAGCAAUUCUAAUAUAUAUUUUUCCCUAUCUUUAGUACAUAAUUUGUGAUAAAAAAAUUAUCAUAAGCUUUAUAUCUUGUAGUUCUUUCAGCAUCUUUUUUAGAUUCUUUAUAUCUAUCUUUUAAAUUUCUCCUUAUUUUUAUAAUUUUAUCAAUCCUUAAAACUUGAUAUUUUAAUAAUAAUUGUUUUAUGAACUUUCUCUCACCAUCAUCAACUCUCUCUUAAAGUUAUACUUCUACCUUUAGUUUCAUCAAAGAUAUUUUUUUUUAAGGUCCUAAUCUUAUUAGCAAUUGUAGUCUAAAUAAUAUCAGUACUAUGUUUGUCUAAGUUUCAAAUCUUCUCUUUUUUUUUUAUCCUAUUCUUAAAAACUUUUGCAUCAUCGAACCCUAGUAAUUUUUUUCUACAAUCUUUUACUUUUUCUAUAUUGUACAACAAAUAUGUAUAAGGUUAUAAUUCUUACAUAUAAUUUUGCCUAUCUAUCUUUGUAACGAGAAAAAUGUCUAUAACUAUUCUUAUAAGUAAUCAAAUAUUUAUGUUUGUUCUUGUAGUGAGUAUUGACAAUUAAUUAUAAGAUGGGUGAUAAAAUCUAAAAUCAUAUCACCAUCUUCGUUCACUCCUUUUUAUCUUUGGCUCAGUCUUUGAUUUGCAAUGUUCCAUUGAUGUCUUUCCAGUGUUUUGAUGUUCGUGCACUGUGUUUAUGUGCAGGUUAUCCGAAUUGAUGAAGCAGCUCUCGGAGAAGGUUUGCCUCUUGGCAAGUCGGAGCCGGCUUUCUAUCUGGAUUGGGCCGCGCACUCUUUUCCAUUGAACUUUUUCAUCAAAUGUGAAUUAUUAUAAUAUUUUUUUAAUUUGGUUUAUUUAUAAUAUUUUUUAUAAUAUAUAAUAUUUUUUUUUUGUUGAGAUAUUGAAAAAUAUCGUAAAAUCAUUGAAAAACACUGUAAGCGAUAUAUGUGCCUCUUUAGGUGUCAUUCAUUGCUUCUAGAUCGAUAUGAUAAUAUAAUUUUAGGCUUGUAAAUUAGGUUGAUUGAGGUUAAAGGUUCAUUUAUGUUAUUCACAUGUUUUCAAGAAGGUCUUAUAGUAUUUUUUUUAUUAUUAUGGUAACUAAAACAUUAUAAUAAACUAUUUUUUUUUAGUUCUUAUUUGGGUGAUGUUAUUAUUAAAUCAUUAUAAAUAUCUAUUUGAAUGUUAGUGUGAUUUUAUUUUGAUUUGGGUGAUGUGUUUUGAUUUCAUUUGGCAUAUUGUAAUAGUGGUAUAGUAUUUUUUGUUGAGAUGGUAUUGAAAAAUAAUAAAUCCUACAAGAGACAGACAUAUUAAUGUUAUGGCUUAUUUGGUUGUAUUAAAACAAUAUCUUAAUAUUUUUCAAUAGAGAGAACGAUGUAUGAUCAAUGUCAGAAAAGUUCAUGUAUCGAAAUGGGGAUUGAGCCAAUCCGAAUGCUUAAACAGAAGAAUGAAACCACUCAACCCCAUCAUAGAACGGAUGGGCGCUCCCAAGUUUAGUAUUCUUACGACAUAUAUAUAUACUCUUUCGUCUUUCGUAUAGCACCGAUCUAUUAAUAUCGAUCCACCAUAAGUCAGCUCAUGUUUCUAAGAGAAGGCAUGUUUAAAUCUCAAACAUUAAAGUGUUUGUGAAGCAAAUCAUCAUGAACUUGGAUUUCCGAUGCGGUGGAGAGGUUCCAAACAAGCAGGUAACUCCAAUUUAAGUGAUUUAUAGGAAAGCUCGAGUCCGACGAAUUCAUAACGCGACACGACAUAACAUAGGAGUUCAUUGGUUGGGUUGGGAUGCCAAUGUUUGUUAGUGAUGAAACAUUAUUUAUGACACCGAGGAGCCAUCCGAUGGAGGAUAAUACAAGUAUCAUCAAACGCCGCAACCAAACACGAUGAGAGAAGAUCGAAACGUACGACAUUGUAGCCAUCCCAAUAUAAGGUUUGGGUGAUUAAUCACAUCAACGAUAGGAGAUCCAAUGAAAACCAAAUAAAAACAUAUACUACGCUUUAUUGAUUUCUCGAUUCAAUAAUCAAGCAUUCUAUCAAGAAGCAAGGUGCCACUACGCUUUAACUUCAAUUUAAGGGUUGCACAACAAAGGUCCAAAAUAGUCCACUACAGAUCGAAAUCUCCCACAAGUGUUCACAUGAUAUAAUAUUUAUUUAUAAGUCUAAAAUGACCAUCAAACCCAAUUAAAUUUAGGGUUGUUAAGCUUUCGACCGUCCAAUAAACCAAAAGACACGGACAUACUUACGCAUUACAUCGAACACUCCGUUUAUAAUUUUGUCCGUGACAUUCUCCCCCACUUAUUCCUUCGACGUUCUCGUCGAAGCCUUUGUCGACACUGCAACUCAUCGUCUUUGCUGAGUCUUCAAUCUUCUGCUCCAAUUACAAUUCGCCUCUUGGCUCCCAACUACUCUCCGCUACUGUUGUUGAGUAGUCGAACUUUUGAUCUAUCAUGCUGUUUCAACUCACUAAUGACUCUGACUCUUGUAUGGGGUUGGCUGAGUUAUGUUAAUCCCUGUUGAUUUCUACAGAUCCUUCAGAUAAAGGAAAAGAUCAUCAUUACUAUGCGUCAGUCUCUCAAAUACCUUAUGCUUCUUGAACUUGGUGGAUGCUUGUUGGAGCUUUAACGAGCAUCGCCUCGUAAACUUUUAAAGUUUUGGAUCCUUCCUCGAUAAAAGUUAUCUAUCGACCCUUCUUUCACUUAAUUGUUAUUUCCAAAUAUAUUCGCAUCCUUUUGAUUUCGAUUGACAUUCUAUUGGGAAAUGAAGCGGAUAAUCUACUCUCAGUAGCAUUGAUCACCAUCGGUGAUGAUUUGAUAAAUAUUAUCUUCCAUUAUCUUCAAAGGGUAUUUGAACCUAUGCAGAGCUCCUCUAUUGAAUAGAUAAGAGAAUUGUGGAAUUCAGUUUCGUCUAUUCUCUUAAGAGUUGAGAAGGCAAAGGUUACUUGACUUCACUUGUUUCCUCGAAGGUUCUACUCCAUGCAUUGAGUUAGUUACUAGCCUUCGCCUGCUCUUUGCUCAUGCUUCUAAAGUACUUGAAGUAUUUACACUCCAUGCAUUGAGUUAGUUACUAUGAUUCACCUUCUCAAUGUCAUCGAACUUCUAGAAUACAAGAAGUUUUCACUAUAACUUAGAGCAAGUCUCUUGUAGUUUAGGUUGCCUUUAGGAUUGCACCGUCUUCUCCAUCAACCCUAUCGCCUACUCCACCGAGUAGCAAAGGUACAACACCACGUAUUGCCUACUUCGUUUCUUGGUCGUGCACUCUUGCACGACCUAAAGUCCUUCACUUUCAGCUAUCUUGAUGAAAAGCUCAUUGACAUUGGUCUUAUGAAGUUCCUUGGUCUCUCUGCCCUUCAGCCUUGUCUCGGUACUUGGAGUUUACCUCUAUAUGCUCCACCUCCUCGGUCCCUUUCAUGACCAAGUGCUCUCCCUCCAUGAGAGCAAGGGAUCGAUGACUUCACAGAAGUUCCGCCUCUACGGUACCAUGGUGCUGCCAUGCCCAUGGUCCUACUAUCCGUCACAUCGCAUCUGCAUCCUUUUUCUUCAAGAUCGGUAGAUCUAUCUCUGUGGCACUUUGGCACUCCUCCGAAUCCACCUUCAUUCUAAUCGAUGCUUAGUUUUUUUGGAUAGCUAAUCUCUAUGGACUCAUCAUCACUUCCUCACCCCUUUCGACCCCCUGCUUCAACACUUCUGUGUUCUCCAAGCAGUUCCUCUUAGUCGAUGGAAAGACAAACUGUAACUCUCAUAUAUGGCCUCUACCAUCAUGUUGCAGGGUUCAUACCGAUUCUAUUCUCCUUGGCUUCCUCGGUAGCAAUGUUCACUUACUCGACCUUGUCCUCUGACUUGUCGAGCUCCCUUAAGCGAAUAUGGGCUCUAGAGUAGCCCAACUCUCCAACUGCUUCGAUCAUACCUCUGCAUGAUCAAGUCCCUCCCAUGAGAUUCAUUAGUACUUGCAUUCAAACUUUUCCCUCGGUGGUACGUAGCCCUCAUAUGUUGAGGACCAAAGCUUUCAUCCGAUGCAAAAUUCGAUGCACGCACGGAAGACCCACCUCUAUGGUACCAUAGCCUUCACUCAUUGAAUCCAUAACUCUUCUUAUCGUCAUGUUGUUCACCGAAGUGGAGCUCCCAAUAGCUCUUGAUCAUACCUUUAUAUGAUAUAGUCUCUCACGGGACUAGAUUCGUGUGUAUCACAUUGCCACGAACUGUUCUACCAUGAUCUGUUGCACCAUGUCGCUUCCUGAUGACAUCUUUAUUGCAUUCUGAUCCUUGUGGGAUGAACUCGAAUUGUAAUCCCUCCAUGUGUGGCCUCUGCCAAUACAUUGCAAGGUCUCUUUUACCUUCGAUUUUGUUCGCUCAUUUGGCAAUUGACCUUCAUCCACCUGCUCUUGGGUCAUGCUUAGAUGAAGCAUCGCUCUAGGACAGUCCGUCACCUAGUAGCUCUUGAAGUCCACCGACUUCGCUGAAAAUGGUACACCAUUGUCUGGAUCCUGGGCCUUUGCCCCUACCAGCAUAAUCUUCACUGUGCACCACUUCCUUCAUGGCAACUCAAAUGACAACACUAUGACAUAUUCUUCAAGAGUACCCGCCUCCGUGUCCUCUUGCCCCAUGCCGAGGCCUUCUGAACCCAACUUCGCCUCCGCAAGUUGAGUCACCUCAGUUCUCCAUCAAAUGCUUCUCCGAGAUAAGGUGCAUGUGCCCAGAAGCUCCCUUCAUCUUUAGCACCAUGCAAGAUAAGUCCGCUCCGUCAAAAUGAAGGACCCAUAAAAUAAUAUGAUCCUGCUUUUGCCUCUGCAAGAGUUCAUGUCCUUGACCUCUGUCCAAGGAAAGCUCUGUGCCUCUGCUUCAUGUUCCAUCUUCUAUGUUGGCUCCCUUCAUGUGACUUGGGUACUUCGUCAAGUUACACCCAAGUUGCUCUGCUCCUCGUUUUGCAUUGAAUUGAUGGUGGCCCUCGCGCCCACCAUUCUACGGGUCAGCCCUCCCUUGAGUCCGAUCUUCAUAUCGACUCUAAGUGUGCCUUCAUUUGUGUUGUUUUGGGUUGCUCCCCCACUUGAUCUCGUAAUGCAUUCUCUCAAGCAAGAUCAUGCGACAACUUCUCGCCGCUCGCUUGGUCCAUUGAGCUUCAUGGAGUUAUUGUUUUUGAGGUACUCCUCCUCAACAUGUGCAGUCUAUUGCAUAUGAUUCUCUCUUUAGAGAACUGGGAUCUAUCCCUCUUGGAUAACUAUCCUAUUAGAGCAACAUCUCUCUACGCUUCUUUCUCUCUGAAAGUUUCGGAGACCACCAUCCCCUUAGACUACUCUGAUUUGCUGAACAAACUAUGCAUUGUUCUACCUCUUGCAAAUGCACUUGCUAGAUUGCGACUCCAUGUCUAUAAAGCCCACGCUGUACCACUCAAGGCUUAGCAACAUGUUAAACUCGCUGCACACUUUAGCCUCCUAUGGACGUAUUCUUCAUAUGCCGAAGAGAAAGUUUCAAUGCUCCAUGGCACCGAGUUUCGGUUGCCUUGGGAUGGCCACGAACAUUCCAUCGUCCACAUACAAGCUCAUGCAUGAGUACCGAAUUCUUCGAGUUACCAAUUCCCCUUAUCUUUGUGAGCUUUGCACAACUCUUUCGGUUGUUAAACAACUCAUUCCACCUUGUAUGGUCUCAUCCUUUACCAAGCGCCUCGCUUGCCUUGAGCACCAUCAAGUAUAGUUGUCAACGUCGCGCCGUAGCUUGAACUCAGCCAUCCCAAGCUUUGUGCGCUUCACAUUCUUCCAAGCUUACUUGUUCUCGUGGUGCCUCUUGCGUGAAGGGUUGGUCAUUCCUCUAAAUGCCAAUAUUAGAUGCCCACUCCUCCGAGCGACUCAUUUUUCCUACAUCUCCAUGCCCGUUUGUCCCUAAACGGUCACGCGUGUGCUGACUGCCCUCAACACAGCCCCACUAGGUCUCCCACAUUUGCAUGCCAAGUGUUUCUUUAAGUGCUUGUCCCGCUCUAAUACCAUCUGUCAUAGACUUAGCUGGUUUUGCCUAAGUCGUGCGGUACCCUUACGUGUCCGUCCAUAAAUUUCAGCCUCCCUAAAGCCUCCCAUGGUCCCUUAGGACAUACAAAAGAGAAAACGAGUUAGAGAAAACGCUUCACUCGGGAUCCACAAGCAAACAUUUUCGAAAACACUUCAUAGAUAAUACAAAUUACAAACAGACUUUACAAGCUCUGAAUGGUUGCACAACAAAGGGUCAAAAUGAUCCACUACAGAUCAAAUAUCUCUCACAAGUGUCCACAUGAUAUAACAUUUAUUUACAAGCCUAAGAAGGCCACCAAACCCAACUAAAAUGGAGUUGUUAAGCCUUCAACCAUUCCUCUACAUGCUGUGCAAAGCAUAAACAAACAGAAAGAUACGGAUAUACACAAGUAUUACAUCAAAUAUCAUGUUUAGAACUUUGUCUGUGACAGCUCCAUGUUUCAUCUUAUAUGCCAGCUCCCUUCAUGCGGCUUGGGUACUUUGCCAAGUUACACCCAAGUUGCUUUGCUCCUCGUUUUGCAUUGAGUUGAUCAUGGCCCUUGCAUCCAUCAUUCCAUGGGUCAGCCCUCCAUUGAGUCUGAUCUCUAUAUCGACUCCAAGUAUGCCUUCAUUUGUGUUGCCUUGGGUCGCUCCCCCACUUGAUAUCGUAAUGCAUUCCCCAAAUGCAUUAUCUCAUGCGAUGAUUCCUCGUCGCUCGUUCGGUCCGUUGAGCUUUGUGGAGUUGUUUUGAGGCACUCCUCCUUAACAUGUGUGGUCCGUUGUAAAUAGUACUCCCUCUGGAGAGUCGGGACUAAUCCCUCUUAGAUAUCUAUCCUGUUGGAACAACUUUUCUCUUCGCUUUUUUCUCUCUGAAAGUUUCAGAGACCAUCAUCCCCUCGGACUACUCUGCCAUGCUAAACAAAUUGUACAUUGUUCUACCUCCCGCAAAAGCACUUGCUAGAUUGCAACUCAAUGUCAAUACAAUUCCCGCUGUACCACUCAAGACCUAACAACAUGCUGAACUCGCUGCACACUUUAGCAUCUCAUGAAUAUAUUCUUCUCAUGCCAAAAAGAAAGUUUCAUUGCUCCAUGACGUCGAAUUUCGGUUGCCUUGGGAUGACCACGAAUAUUCCAUCAUCCGCAUACAAGCCCUUGCAUGAGUAUUGAAUUAUUCGAAUUAGCAAUUCCUCUCACAUCUACAAGCUUUGCAUAACUCUUUCGAUCGUAACUCGAUCGAUAACCAAAAUGAAUCAUCAAGGAACAUAAAAGAUUGGAAUGUAAAUAAGGAUGAUGGACUCUUGCAUCAUUAAUUGUUUUGUUGUUUGAACAAAACAAUGAGCCAACAAGUAUUUGAAAAUUUGCCUUUGAGUAUAAUCAAAGAAGCAAAACAAUUUUGGUGAGAGAGUAAAAAUUAAUCUAAAGUGGAUAAAAUGAUGCUACGUGAUGACGAUUAAUUAGCAAUGCUAUUGGCAUUUUAGAGAUAAUUUAAUGCAAUAAUAGAACCAAGUGUUCUCCAUCCAAUAUAAGAAGAAAAAAAGAAAAAAAAAGUGAAUCUAUCUAUUUAUAGAGAGAUAUUUUAAAAAUAUUAAAAACACUAAAAUACAAAAAAUAAAAUAAAAAUAGCGAAAAAGGGUUAUUGAUAGAAAUAUCCAAUUAUUAAGACUAAUUGAUAGACCCAAAACUAGCCACAAAAUGAGUUUUCCGAAAAAUAAAAAAAUAAAAAUCUAGGAAGGAAAAAAUAGAAAAACGUUUUUUUUUCAUCAUCUUUUUACAUGAUUUCUUCACGUGCAUCUCUAAUUUCUUUAUGGAUUUCAUCUCUAUUUUUGUUCCUCGUUACCGGUGAAUUCUCUCUCCAAAACAAAACCUUAUGAAAAUUAUGCUCAAUAGGAAUCAACCAGAAGGAAAAAAAUUUGUGGUUAAUUUCUCUUUAAAAAUUGGGAUUAUUAUCUAAUAUCCCAAACUAAUCAACUUGGGAUUGACCAUCAACCAAUAACUAAGCUUAGUGUCUGAAUCCGAUCCGAAAAAUGGAAGGUAUAAUAAUGUGUGAAUCCGAUCCGAAAAUAGAAGGUACUAAUGUGUUUGAAUCCGAUCCGAAAAAUGGAAGGUACUAACGUAUCCAUUUGGGUCCAUAAAGUUAUCGGUUUUUGGAUACUGCACUUAGAGGGAUCCGUUCCGGAUCCAACCCGACAACACCCUGGUCCACGGCACUAUAAUGGGGGAGAAACUGGGACGCAGAAGAAAGGCAAAGGGCAAAAAAAUCCACGGCGGGGGAUAGCGAGAUGCGACCGAACGUCGUCACCGAGGUAAGAGGUCUUCCCGUACCCCCCCCCCCUCCCUUCUUCUUCUUUUUCUGAUUUGUGCUACAUAUAGCCUAUGUUGGAUGGAUCCACUGGUCUUCCUCGGAAUGCUUCGCCGUCCGGGAUUCUGAGUAGCUCCACUUCACUUUUCUUUGCGAUAAUUGGGGUUUUGCAGCUUGUUCUGUGGGAUGAGCGAAAUGUCCGCUAAAGAAUCGCAUAUUUCUAGUUUCAUUUCUUCGCUGUUGUUUGCUUGUUUGGUUCCUGCGGAAAAUGAAGUAAAAUCGAGGUUGUGGGAUGAUUACGGUUUGAGUGUUACAGAUCUUGACCUAGUUAUACUUGGGGUAUAUCAUGCAAAAUAGAUAUUUUAGUUGUGGACUUGUUCGGGGGAGAAUAACUUCGUAACAACUUGCUUUGAACUGGUCUGGAGGUUGCUGGUUAUUGGAGGAUCUUUAUUGUUAUUCAGCAAAAUAAUCUCGAUAUUUAUUAGUAGCAUAUUGUGGACUUUGAGAUUGAUCUAUACGUAUAUUUCCAAUCCUGUCUAAAACUAAUAGAAAAGUGGAUAUUACUGAAGUUCUUUACCUCUUACUAGAAUUAAUGCAGAUUUCUGGCAUGCCAAGGAUAAGGAUUAUAGAAAUGUUGCAUAGGCAACUGAGAACUUACCAUUAGUUCCUAUAUGAUCAACAGCCAGUAUAUAAUUGGGACAAGAAUUUUGGUUAAGUUAAGCACAUACAAACUUUAAAGACUAUUUUGCUAUAAUGAUUGCAGUUCUUGUGCUGUAAGUUCUGCUACAGCACUUGGUCAUGAAUUUAAAUACGCGGAUCUGUGAAAUUCCUUGUUAUGCCAAUAUAAUAAAUAAUCACAAUUGACGGAAGGAUAGUGGUGGAAGAAACCUUUUCCAUGGAAUGGAAUUUUUAAUAUGGAUGAUGUGCUUCCACAUAAACCAUAGGCACAGUCAUAUGAUUAGCAUCUGUAUGUUCAUUUGGAACUGGAAGUUCGAUUACAAGGACAAAGAAUUUGGACUCUGGAUGAUUAUGAGAUCUUGGCAUGAUUUGGCUAUGAAGACUUGCCAUAACGGAAAUUAUGUAUUUAUUAAAUCUUUUUUUUGGUAAAAUAUUGAUGGUUUUUGAGGCCUAGGGAAAAAAUAAUGCUUCAAAACAGCAUGGAAGCAAUGUUGUUAGGGUGCAAGAUGUUCACCUUUAAGUCAUCUUUCAUAUUUAGAGUCUUAUGUUUUUGAACUAGUGACUCCAACUUCAGAAUUUUGUUAACUUUCCUCAAAUAGACUGUUUUUGUGUUAUCGAACGUUUUAAUAUGUCAAAGUAAAUAUCUUGUUUAGCUAUGUCCAACAAUAAAUAGAUAAUUAAAAAAUGAUAUGAAGAUUGAUGUAAUAAAACAAGAUUGGUAUGUUGCAUAUAUAUCAUAAGAGGCUAGAAGUGGGACUACAUUACUGUUUUCUUACUUGUGGUGAUGUUGAAUGUUGGCACCUGGGCCUCAAUUCUAUAUGCCGGAAGCUUGCAUGACUAAUUGCUUGAGGAAUAUUGACAAAGUGAUGUGUUAUAUUAGUUGCUUAUUUUUUAUAAGAAAAUGAUAGUCUUAGAGUCUGAAAGCAUCAUGUCUGAGUUAAAGAUACAUAACCAACUUGAAGUGCUAUUUUCACCUCUAGUGAUUAUGUGACUUUAAUCAUAUCAACAAAAGUUGAAAUACCUCGAAAAACAUUGAAGAAAUAGCCAAUGACCAAGAAGAUUCUAUUCUAGGGAAAAUGGAGAUUUGACUUUGUUCAUAUGCAAGGUCUUUUCUUAUUUACAAAAUGUUUUUGUAGAGUUUGUACAUUUGAUUGGUAAAAUGAAGUCAACUUUUCAAUGCUUUAAUAUGUAAAUUUCUCCUCAAACCAUCAUUCAAGUAAAUUUAUUAUGGUUAUAGACUUAUAGUGCAGUCAUUUGUAGAUGGUAGUUCCUUUUUUAAUGUACGAUUACUAGAUAAUCGUGGGCUACAUAUUUUUGCCUAUUUUGAUGCAGGAAUAUUUUAUUUUAUUUAUUGUUUGAAUAAAUAUGAUUAGAUUAUGGAAAUUCAAAUGUUAUCAAUUGCCAUAUAGAACUCUGCAUUAUUUCUAGUUUACUUUCUUAGAUACUCAAGCUAAAGAAAAAUAAUGAAAUAAAUGCAAAAAAAAAGAAGAAAGCAUAAUUUGUUUUGAUCGAAGACUCCAAAUCUGGAUUGAGGAUUUCUUCUCUAUGAGGAAGAUUCAUUCUUUUACAAAGAUAGAAUAUUAUCAAUUAAGAAUAUCAUCAAAAAAGAAUAUUAUUCAAUGAAUCAUAUAUAGAAAUUAAUCUUCUUGAAAGAAGGAAAGAGUAGAUUUAUUUGUUUUUAAAUAAUUGUAAUAUUUCCUUAUUUCUAUAUUCUUCCUAUACUUAAGGUCUAUAAGAAGAAUAAAGAAAUAUUAUAAUUGAAUGAGAAAAUGAACUAAUGAAUUAAAGUUCGUUUUUCACAUUAUAUAUGAGUAGUGUGAGGCCAUAUUCAUUUUUCAUUGGCAUGAUUCCAUUGUUCACAUGUGAAACGAAGGCACAAGAGUGAUAUCAGGAGGCCCUCGGGCGCUCGCCUAAGUGUUCAGGUCAGGUGAAGCGAGGUGAGGCGAAGCUAGUGCGCCUCAAAUAGGGUUUGGGCGGUUGCCUUCAAUUGUGCGUCGCGUAGACGUGUGCUUGGGCCAGGGGUUGGGUGGCCUAGGUGCUUGCGCAGCCCAAUUUGAAUCCUGAUUGAAAGUGACUUAGCUUGAGUUGAACCAAAAUGUUACAAUUGGUUCAGCCAAGCCAAGUCCUAACUCCAAUACCGUGUCACAGGCUCGCUAGUGAGAGAAACCCUAUUCUCGUUCUCUCGAUCGCCCUCUUAUCCUCAUUGCCAUUGUCACCGCCUCGCCUCCUCUUCACCUGAGGUCAUAGCUCCUUACUAUCGCCUCUUGUUGAACGAUUAUUCCCGUCGCUCCUCACAUCCGUGCGUAUGGCAGCGCUUCAUUGGUGGAGGUACCUCCUCUUCAAUCUCUCCCACCUGGUGUUGUACCUCUUGCCUCUCUUUCCUACUCGUUGUCGCUCUCCCUCUCAUCCUUCGUUGUAGGUCUCGUCAAGCCUCCUCGACACCCCCUCCCUCCUCACUGCUUCUCACCCCUUUGCUUUGCCUCUCGUUCCUACUCAUUGUCGCUUUCCUACUUUCUCCCUCCUUUAUAGCCGACAAGUCUCCUUUUUCUCUAAAUCUUCCUUCUCAGCUUCUUUUGCUCCUUGACAACCCCAUACGAUCUGUCUUGAAUUUAGUAAUAAUGUUAAUUAUUAAUAAUAAUUAGUUUUUAUUAAUUAUAGUAUAUGAAUUGUUUAAAGGAUAGAAUUUGUCAUUGCUAGUAUUUUGGAGUGUCACUAGAGUUUUGACAUCUUCAAUCAUAGCUAAUGUAGUUUUAGGAUUAUUAUUAUUUUUUUAUUUUAGGAUUUUUUUAUGUUCGUAGAUUAGAUGGUUAAAAAAAUUUACUUUGGUGUUUUAGUGGUGAUAUUUUGAAUACGAAAUAAUAUGAAACUCAUUUAUUGUCUAAUUUUUAUUUUAAUGAUUGUUUUUCUCGUUGAAUGUAUUGUUUAUAAUUUUUAUAUUGAUGGUUGCCUUGCUUUGCUUGGGCAAGUGUCCGAACCUAGCGCCUAGCAUCUUUGACAACAUAGGGUUCUUUAUUUUAGAAGCUUUAAUUUUAAGGGAUAUUUAUUGUUGGUCUUUUGCUUUUUAUUCUAUAAUUUUCUUAUAAAAAAGACACUUCCUUUAUCUUUGCAAACUUGUCCUACAUUAAAUUGAUAUAAGAGCUUCUACCUAAAAUAAAAUGUUUGAUCAUCAAGCUUAUUCAAGUUUUGACUAUUUGAACUCUGGACGAGUUCUUACAUAGCAAAAACAUAUAAUGUUAUUUAUUGCUUGAAUUAAUUUGAUUAGAUUGUGUGUGUUUUACAAAUGUAGUAAUUUGUCACAUGACAACAUCUUUAAUAUUUCUAUUUCAGUUCUAUAAAUUACUUAAGAUGAGAAAAAUGAAAGCAAAUAUUAAAAUGUCAAAGAAAUCACUAUUUGAUUUUAUUACAAUAACCUCAACAAUGAGGGUGUUAGUUAUAGCUAUUUGGAGUCGGCUUCAUGGAUUUUUUGUUGCCAUUGCGAUAUUUUAAAGCCCAUAUGUGUAGUUAAGUUAAAAAAUAUUUAAAUUUUUAUUUACAGUUUCCAUUAAAUUCUUUUUAGUCUUCAUUACCUCUCCUCACACUAUUAACGAUAUUCAUUUCACCUCUUUUAACUACCGCAUCUAUAGGUCUCUUAAGCACAUGUCCAUACUGUCUUAGACGAUUCUCUCAUUUUAUCCUAUAUUGAAUUGUUACCUAAUUAUUCACACAUAAAAAUAUAUUUUUUCCUUUCUUUGUAACUCGACAAAUUUAUUUCAACAUUUUCAUAUUAACAAUAUAAACUUUUCGUAUAUAUUGUUUCUUAACUGCGCAACACUUAGAUCCAUAAAGCAUUGCUCAUCUAACAAUUGUCAUAAAAUUUUCUUUUAAUGUCAAAGUUAUAUAUGAUUGUAGAAGACUCCUAACACCCCCACUAUGUUAACCAUUAUGUUUUUAUUAUAUGAAUAAUAUCUUCAUCAAUCUCUUCAUCGUGUUGGAUAAUUCUAACACUAGUAGUUAUAUUGUCAUACAUAUCUUUAAUAACAUUAAUAUAAUUAGUGGAUAUAUCAUUUUUUUUAUGACCCACCAUAAUAAAUCUCUAUGAACUUUAUUAUAGGAUCUCUCUAAAUCAAUAAAAAUCGUAUGCAAAUAUUUUUUUCUUUUAUAUUAUUCUAUUAAUUAUUUUAAUAAAUAAAUAGCUUCUCUUGUUGAUCUUCUAAGCAUAAAAUCAAAUUGAUUUUAGAGAUAUUUGUUUUAAGUCUUAUCUUAUAUUUGAUAGCCCUUUCCCAAAGUUUCAUAGUAUAAGUUAUAAUUUUAAUUUCUAUAUCAUUAUGAUAGUUUUGUAUGUCAUUUAUUCUUCUAUGUCACUAAGAAGCUCUUUCUUCAUUCAUUUUGCAUCUAUCUGAAUCCCAUAAUUUUGUUUAAUAGACUAGUGAACCAAGCUAUUCUCUAGUCUCCUAAAUUUUUUCAAACCUCAAUAAGGAUAUCAUUAGGUCCCUCACUCUUAGCUAUUUUUAUCUUUUUAAAGGCAUCCUCUAAUUUUACGAACAAAUUUAUGAUUGUUAAAUAUAUCAUUAUUAUUUGAAGUUACAUCAUUUGUGAAAUAUUUAUUAAAUAAUUUAUAAAAUAAUUUCUUCAUCAUUCCUUAAUAUUAUUAUCAUUAAUAAAUAUUGUUUGAUCAUCAUCUUUAAUGCAUCUAACAUUACCUAAUUCGUUAUCCUUUCUUUUUCUAGCUUUAGCAAUUUUAAUAUAUUUUUUUCUCGAUCUUUAGUACUUAAUUUGUGAUAAACAUUGUCAUAAGCUUUAUAUCUUGCCAUACUAAUUGUCCUUUUAGCAUCUUUUUUAGAUUCUUUAUAUCUUUUAAAAUUUUCCUUAUUUUUAUAGUUUUAUCAAUCCUUAAAACAUGAUACUUUAGUAAUAAUUGUUUUAUGAACUUUCUCUCGCCAUCAUCAACUCUCUCUUAAGCUACACUUCUACCUUUAGUUUUAUCACAUAUAUCCUUUUUUAUGGUCCUAAUCUUAUUGGCAAUUGUAGUCUAAAUAAUAUCAAUAUUAUCUUUGUUUAAGUUCCAAAUCUCCUCCUUUUUUAUCCUAUUCUUGAAGACCCUUACAGUAUCAUCUUUAAAACUUCAUCAUCUAAUCCUAGUAAAUUUUUUUGCUAUAUUUUUCUUUUUCUAUUUUGUACAACAAAUAUGUAUAGCUUUAUAAUUCUUACAUAUAAUUUUGCGUACCUUUCUGAUGAGAAAAAAGUCUAUAUAGUUGUGAUUAUUCUUAUAAGUAAUCAAAUGUUUAUGUCUGUUCUUGAAGUGAGUAUUGACAAUUAUAAGAUCAUACAUGGUGGUAAAAUCUAAAAUAAUAUCACCUUCUUCGUUUUUCUCCCAGUAACCAAGGCCUUGUGCACUUCUUUAAAUUCGCCAUAUAUUUUUCCUACAUGACCAUUCAAAUCUCCAAAAUCAUACGAGAAUGAUAUUAUCUAAGUUUUGUAAAUUUCUCUUUUGGUUUGAUCAACUAGUCCAACUUGAGUGACAUAAGCACUUAUGACCUGUAAAACAUCGUCUCCUAAGAAAAAUUUUAGAAGUAUAAUUCUAUCUCCAAAUCUUUUCAUAUCUACAAUAUUAUUCUUAAGAUUCUUAAGAACAAUUUCUGCACCAUUUCUAUGUAUAACUUUUCCUGUAUUUCGAAUCUUAAAUCUAGUACUAUCAAUACAACAACAACAACAACAACAACAACAACAACAACAACAACAACAAAAUCGAACUAUUUGGGGUUGGCUACAUGGCUCUUUUGCUGCCAUUGAGGUAUAUAAAAAGUCAUAUGUUUGGAUAAAUUUAGAGUACCAUCUUUAAAAUGCCAUUUGUAAAAUCUAAUACUAUCAAUAUCUCUAGAUUUUUCUCCUGUCCACUUAGUCUUUUUUAAGCAAAUAAUAUUUAUUCUUCUUUUGAUCAUAGUAUUUAUUAAUUUUAGUACAUUUCUUGAAAGUGCUUUUGUAUUUCAAGUUGCUAAUGUAAUCCUUUGAACUUGGGCUAACUUCUUUGCUCACAUUGGUUUAAAGAAAUGAGAGAACCCUUGUCUACUUUGCACCACAUUCGGACGCCUUUGUGAUGGGCCGUUUUCGAGUGACCUCCUAGCCAUCAUUUGCAAUUCGGAACACCUAGGUGGUGAGGGUGCCUCGCGUCAUUUUUGUGUAAUGACCUAGCCUUGUACUGAGAUUGGUUAAGAUCCAUGUUCAUGGGAUCUAGUUUACGCUGGUUGUCAAUGACCUAACGCAACCCUCCACCUUUUUCAUUGGGACUUAGGACCAGCAUUGGCAUGUUAUAAUUUGAUCUUUUUGAAGAUCAGAAGUUUGAGUUUUUCAUGGCUUUUGGCUUAGUAGGCUCCCAAAAUAUUUUUGUCAUAUACUGGUGAUAUGUUCAUGCUUAAACUUCUACUCGUGUGCUCUUUUAUGUUUCAUAGGCAAGGCUGCCAACAAGGCUGCAUCAGUGGUGGGCUACUGUUCCAUUUAUUACUUCUGGUGUCAUUAUCACUUGUGGUGUAAUUUAUCUGGUGUGCUUGCUGGUUGGGUAUGACUCCUUUUAUGAGAUAUGCUUCUUGCCUUCUGCAGUCGUUUCACAGUUUCAAGGUACAGUUUACCUCCUUUUGGAUUCAACUAUACGAAAUCUGUGGUUGUUUGAGUUGCAAUCAACAUUUAUUUUUUCUGUGAUGAUUAAAUAUCUUAUCUCCAGCCAACAGAUAUUUAUUGCCAUUUGAUAGUACUUUGUUAUGUUCUAUUAUGCAGUCAUGGUCAUUUAAUUUGCAAAGCAGUUGUUUAUCCUUAUAAUUUCCAUAAUACAUGCUGAAGGAAUGACGAGGCAUUGUAUUCCCAGCUGACAAAUAUUUAUGCACUUUAUCUAGGACUUUGUUAUUUCAUAUGGCUGACAUUUAGAGUAUAUAUUAGAUAAAAUUUUAAUACCAUGUUAACUAAGAGUGGUGAGGGUGGGCCUUGGCACAACAGGAAGGUUGCUUCUUUGGGAGAUCAGGCUCGAAGUACGAAAAUAGUUUCUCUAUAUUUAAUGGUAAGGCUGUGUACAUUGACCCUCUUCAGAUCCCGCAUUUCUGGGAGCCUCAUGUGCUAGUUACACCUUUUUCUUUUUUGUUAACUAAAAAUGGUGAAGGCAUAAUAUAAGGUGUUCAUAUUCUUAAUUAUGAAGGCAUGCCAUUCAAGUCUUAGUAUUUUAUAAUGCAAGGUGAUGUAUCGGUGAAAAUUAAUGUCAUCCAAUCAAAGGAAUUUGGUAAGCCUUGAUUUACUUAGACAUAGCUAGGAAAUGCAUGAAUUCUAGGUUCAUCAAUUUACUCAAAAGUUACUGUAAAGAACACAAAGUUAUUAGGAAGCCAGGAGAUCCUUAAAGUUGCUACUGGAGGAAAUCAACAAAUAGGAUUACUACAGAAUGUGCAUGUAGCAGACUCAAAAUAUUGUCGUCACAAUUCGAUGCUUGGUUAUGUGUCUUUCUAUGAAUGUCUUACAUCAAUAGUUAAAUGCUGUAUUAUGUAAUCCAAUUAGUCAUUUUUAUCUCUAAGUUUCUAACAUCUUUUUUAACUUCUUGCAGUAUAUAGGAUCUACACGUCUGCUCUUUUUCAUGGAUCUUUGCUGCAUGUUCUCUUCAAUAUGUUAGCUUUAGUACCUUUGGGCAUGGAAUUGGAGCGAAUAAUGGGUUCUGUUCGGCUUUUAUAUUUGAUGCUCUUUCUUGCAACUACCAAUUCUAUAUUUCAUCUCAUUAUUGCUGUAGUGGUGGCUGGAAAUCCAUUACAUCCUUUGCCAUUUCUCAUGAACCAAUGCUCCAUUGGCUUCUCUGGAAUCAUAUUCUCAAUGAUCGUCAUAGAAACAAGCUUGAGCGGUGUUCAAUCUAGAAGGUUGGUAGUGUUUUAUUGCACUUUGGCAUGUUCACUCAAAUCCACAUAUGGAAUUACUUGUUUUGCUUCUGUAAGCUUUUUGAUGUCAGUUAACACCACAAUCAAUAUCUGAUAACUUGUGAUGUUCUUGAUAAAUGGACCUUUCACAUUGCGUUGACCUAUACUGCUGUUUUGCAGUGUUUUUGGACUCUUCAAUGUUCCUGCUAAAUGGUAUGUGCCUGCCUUGUUGUCAUAGGAACUAAGAAGUCUUGUCAAUUCGUUUUUGUCUUGACUCGGUUAACUAUUUUUUUCAUGAUAAGAUGGAAACCUUCACCAUGGAAUUGUUUUUAUUUAGGUAUGCAUGGAUCUUAUUGGUACUUUUUCAACUUCUGGCAUCUAAUGUAUCAUUGUUGGGGCACUUGUGUGGCAUCCUGUCUGGGUUUGCAUGUUAGUUCUUCCAUUUCCUUUUGGCUCUCAUGUUUGUUCUUUAUGUUCAUUUUGUUCAUUAGUUAUUUGUUCUUUUGUUGUUUCAUCCAGACACAUAUGGAUUCUUUAACUACUUACUUCCUGGGCCAUCUGUCUAUUCUGCCAUUGAAAGCUUCUCUAUCCUGGUAAUUUUUUAAUUUGAACCAGCAUAUUUGGCCAUUUCAUGCAAGUCCUCUGUGAAGAUUAACCAUCCAAGGACCACACUACUAGAUGUUUGCGCUUAAGCAUUGCAACGGCAUGCAUGAGAUCUUACAUUCAUGUUCACAAGUAGAAAAAAAGUAUAUAUCACAGAUAAUUAUUUUAUACUGUUUAAGUGAUUUGAUCCAUUUAUCUAGCUUUACAACUUUCCUAGUUAUUGCCAUGCUGAAAUUUAAUAUUUGGUUUUGCAGUCAUUAUGUGUAAGGCGUCCUGGAUUUAUAUUGUGCACCGGAGGGACUACAUAUGGUCAGCUUCCCACACAUUCAAGUACAGCUACAAUGUCCAAGUAUGUCAGAUCUACAUGUUUUUCUGAUUAACUUGUACUUUGAGGACUUAAUUUCAUAUGCCCUUUAUGUAGUGGUCUGAGUUCAGGAAAUUUAUGGAGGAACAUCUCUUCAUGGAUGCCACAAAGGGCGGCAUCAACUGCUCAGGUAAAUGAUCUAUCAAAACAAAACCAAAUGUCUUGUAGUUUGGAAGUUGUUUGUAUAUGGGUACAACCGUACAAGAAUGCUACAUGCUAUGCCUGUGAUGAUCACAAUCUGGCAUAAUCCUUGCUAGCUGUACUGUGCUCAUGCUGGAUGUGGCAGUUCUCAACCCAAGGGCAUCAUGCAGCUGGUGGUGUCGUUGCAUGCAGUCACCAGCAUUUUGGAAAAAGCGCCGGUACACAUGGCACAUACACGAGCAAAUUAUGCAUUCUGUAUUAUGCAAUACUUCACUGCACAUACACAUGAGCACAUUAUGCACUCUAUAUAAUACAAUACUUCACUGGCAUAGUUCAUUGACCACAAGUCGUAUGAUCAAAUUUCCAUCCCUCUGGAGUGAAUACAUGUGUUUACCGUGACCUCGAGAUUUGAGGGCAAUAUCACUAGUUAAACUAAGAGCCAUUUUUGUUGUUUCUAACAACUGAGAUUUGAGGGCAAUAUCACUAGCUAAUCUCUUUAGGUUUUCCUCUACUUCUUGGAUAGUCAUUUUAAUCAACUUAUCUAGUCUAUCAUACCACCUUAAAGGGGUUUACCAUUGUUUUCCUUAAUUGGAACUACCCUUAAUUGUUUAAGAAUGGAAAUAUCUUGUAUUUUAUUUUAUUUAUUAAGGUAGUAACCCCACAUCCAUCUCAGCACAAUGAUCAAAGCUAGAUCUUUAAUUUGGUAAAGUCAUUAAAAAGAGAAGAUUAAUUUGUUGGAUUUAUCUGGUCUAGGCAGUGGUUCUAUCUUAAAGUUUCUCCAUCUUUGGCUUUACUCAAUAAGGAAGAAAAAGACUAGAGUGGGAAGUUAGAUAUCACAGUGAAGAAAACAUGUGGAUUUGUUAUGGCACAUAUUUCAGUAGUCUUAAAUUCUCUUGGACUGAGAUCAGUGUUCUUGUGACACAACUCAGUAGAUAAGCUACUCUAAUAGCAGAUGAGAGAUCAUUUUUGUCAAAAUUCAUUAUCUUGACUUGAUUUUAUGAUUAUCAUAAUAUCUUGACAAUGUAAUGUUCAUCAACCAAAUCAUAGGUUGUCCAAGACAGCUUCAUCAAAUACUAAUCUUUUAAUGCAGAGAUAAAGGGCUUGCAUUAGUAGCGAAAAGAUGAAUUGGUGAAAGAAUUGGAAAGUCGAAUGAUACUUGUCAAAUUCUGCUCUUUCUUGAUGGAUUAUUGAAUUAAUGGAUACAACAACAAAUUGGAAGUUUCCAGGGGUUCGGUUACAUCAAUCUUUUGUUCCAACUGAAAACUCUAUUGAGGUCAACAUCACUAGUCAAAUUAAGAGCAAUAAUUACUGUUACACUAAUGUAUUUAUUAAAUUCUCUUAGGCUUAAAUUUGACUUUUAGAUUGACAAACCAAUACUUUAGAACCUGGUAAAUGUAUUUACAUGGCAAUCUUCAAAAAGUGUGACCAUAAUAUUUGGAAUAAGGUGAGUAUGCAUUUUUAACAUCAUGUUAUAUAGUUAGAUGAUAGGCUUUUGAUAGUGGGAGACUGAAAUGAAAGAUGUUACACUCAUGUAUUUAUUAAUUGUUUUAAGGCUUAGAUUCAACUUAUAGAUUAACAAACCGAUGCUUUAGAACCUUGGUAAUGUGUUUACAUGGGCAAUCUUCAAAAAAGGUGACCAUAAUAUUUGGAAUAAGGUGAGUAUGCAUUUUUAACAUCAUGUCAUAUAUUUUGGUGGAAGGCUUUUGAUAGUGGGAGACUGAAUUGAAAGAUCUGUUAAUGGUUGUACUUUAUAUUUGAAUGAAAAGGAUGUUGGAGUAAUCCAUGCUUAGUCGCCUAGGUCCUUAGAGCCUAGGCAUAAGGCACAAGAGUAGCCUAGUCAAAGGUGCUAGGCGCUAAAAGGUAACAAGGUGUGCCAAAAUGCUCGUGGCGCUAGGCGCUCACCCGAGCGAAGCGAGGUUCUCCCAAAUAUUAAAAUAUAAAAAUAUAUCAUGAUUGAUAAACAUGAUCACUAAAAUAAAAAUGGCACAUCAAAUUGUAUUCAUUUGAAAUACCAAAUUACAUUAUCCAAUUCCAAUAAUAAAAAUGUCAAAACAAAACAAUCAUCAAUGAUCAACAAAACAAGAUUGCACUUCUAUGUAGGAUCCUUCUUUCAGUUUCUUGUUGAUGAUUAAUGCCUAUCAGUGAUUGUUGAUGGGGAGGAAGACAUUGUCAUUUGUCGAUAGGGAGGAAGACACCGAAUGUGUGCCCUUAGGUUUCCUAAGGAGACAUAGGGUUGUGCGUAUGAUGGGGGGUGGGGGUGUUUGGUGAAGCGUGUUGACCUGGUUCGAUCAAACCAAAAUCAAUGAACCCAAUUCAUUUAGGCUCGACCCAAGCACUUGGGCCAUGGACGUGUGCCUGGGCUGCCCCCAAUUGAAGGCACCCACUUGGAUCACUUACUAGGCACUUGGGCCUCGAAUCACCUUGCUUGAGUGCCUGGUGACUUCACUGUACCAAAGGUGGUGUGCAUUUCAGUGAAGCAAUGCAUACAAUAUAUUUAUUGACAGGAAACUUGUAGGUGAAAUGAAACUAAGGUUUGGCAUGACAUUCAUUAUACAUGAAUACUUAAAAUUUCACUUUGUUCAUUCAGAAGGUAGACCCAGUUAUGCUAAUUGCGAAAAGCACCUUGGUAGAAAGUGAUGAUGAGUAGGAUGCUAAGAGCAGCAGCCUUUGGGUACUUUAUCAUGAGUUUACUGGAAUUACCUACAUGUAGCAAGUACCAAAAAAGACUAUAGUGGGCUAAUCAACUGAGCUGUCAUGGUAACUCUAUAAUUCAUAAUUGUGGAAGCAAUUUAUUUGGUCUAAAGACACAAUAGUUUAGGUUUUUCUACAAGCUAUCCAGAUCAUCAAAAGUUUGCUGUAUAAAACAAAAAGAGAUGGCCUAUAUUACUCAAUUUCUUCGAUGGAGAUACUUGGUUUGAUGUAAUCACCUUAAAAAGAAGGUGGUACAUUAUAUAUUGAGCAAAGUGUAGUCAAAACCAUAGUUAUAAGAAUCGGAUCAAAUGGUCAAACUGGAAAGCUGAGAACUGGACACUUCAUUGGCCCGACUCAAUCAUAAGAUGUCUCCGUUUGUAAACCAUGAUGAACUGAUUGACGUUACUAGUUUUUGGAUGACCCACAUGAUGAACUCAAUCAUGAGAUGUGUUUAGUAGGACCUCCAUUGUUUGGAAAUUUGUUCAAGAUGAUUUAAAUGCCCUUUAUUUAUAUUUUUUUUUCUUUUUUGCUCUUGAGGAUAUUAAAGUCAAUUUUGUGAUAGGAUUGUGGGAAAAGGGGAAACACUGUGGAAAGGUUCGAUCUUCCUUCUCUCAAUGUUUGGCUCCUCCAUUAUUAAUAAUAAUAGGAUAUUCUUCAGUUGUCCCUCUCCCUUCUGCCAUCUUGUCGUAAAUUUAGCUGGUUUUGCUUGAGCAUUGCAUUAACUUUAUUGUAUCCAUCCGUUUAGUGUCCGCCUCCACGUAACCUUGUAGUCUCGUAGGGGCCUGCAAGGAAAAAAUAGAUUAGUGGAAGUGAAGCACGGGAUCACACAAGUAGAUACUAACGAAAACACUUUAUAGACAUUGUAAAAUAUAGAGAUAGACUUAGCAAAGAUUUGAACGAUUGUCCAAGGUAGUUCAUCAUACACAAAGUAGUUAUGCACAAGUGCCUAUGCGACGCCAAGACCGAGCAAUGACCCAUCCUUAGACAUAUAAUUGAAACCCCAUCCGACCCAAUGCCACCAUCUAAGGGUUCUAGGGUGAUGAGACAACAUGUUUUAUACCAAAACACUGUUAGCCAGAAUUCAAUUGUAGCAUGUGAUUUCACGUGGCUAGCUGCUCUACCUAUAAUGCUUGCAUGUUUUACAAAACAAAGAACACAUAACAAAAACACUACCAAUAGCAGAAUGAGGCUGCCAAGACUACUAAAUAGUCAUUACAAGAUGGCUGGGUGAAACACCCAAAAACACCCAAAAGUGGUAGAGAAAGUGGUCAGGGACAUAUAUCGAACAUAGUCCCUCUCCCUUUGAUCAACCUUUCCUCUAACUGUUCUUUCGUUUUCCCCUCUUGCUUUAGUCGUUCCUCUCGUCCUAUCUACUCGUUCAAUGAUCCCUCUUUUUCCCUUCACAGCUCUUCUCCCUCCCUCCAGUCAACAUAGUGCUUAAGAUUGUUCCCCUUUUUUUAUUAAUUAUAUUAAUUUUAUUGUUAAAAACAUUUUCCUAAUCUUAUGUGUAAUUCAAUCUAUUAUUAUAUUUUUAGAUAUAUUUUCUGAUUAAACAUGUGGUCCAACUAGUUGAACCAUCUAUUUGCUUGGUUUGUUUCUGAUAAAUAUGGUUUCAACCCUGCCCUUUGUUUCUUAUUUUUCUUUCAUUUCUUUAUUGCUGCUCGUAAACUUAAAUUUUGUUUCUGGUACUCAAUAUUUUUUAUUUUAGUUGACAUAAUCUGGUAUUAUUGGUAUUUCUUGAGUCCAUAUAUAGCUUGUUGUCAGCAUGAGGCCCUUAGAUUCCUUCUCAGGGAAAUGAGCUGUUUAACUUUAUUUGAAGCUAUCAGUAUCAGUGCAGAAUCUGACUUUAAUAUGCAACGAAAUUUGAUGCCAGACAAUUUUCAUGUCUAUCCAUUCUUUUUUAUUUCAUAUUUAGAUUCCUCUUGUCUUUGUCUCAUGCAUUCUGACUUCGUUGCUUUUUUUAUUUGUCAUGAUUCUUGAAUGGAAAACAUUUAUAAUGUUCCAUAAUUACAGCGAGUUUAUAAUGAUAUAAACAAUUGUAGCCAGCACAGGAUCCAAGAUUUCCUGGAAGGGGAAGGACUCUUGGUUCUACUGGAAAUCAGUCGUUAACUCCAGCUGAUUCUGACUUGAGCUUGCAUGCAAGGCUUUUAGAUAACUCCACAAAUCGUCCAUUGGAGACAACAACAUUAAGUACAGAAACAUGGUUACCAGACGCAAGGUAUGGCCAAUCUUGUUUGUAGAAUUACUUCUUUUUCUUGGAACAUAUGGUUUUUCAUGUCUUUUAUAUUUACCAAGUUUUCUAUGUGCUUUCUAUCUUCUGAUUUAACAAACUGAAAGAGUCUUCCAGCAACAUACUGAAAUAGGUCUAGUAUGUUAAUUCUUCCUAUCAAUUACGACAAGUUUUACCAGUUGAGAUAGCAACUUCAUCAGUUAUUAUCUUGGAUCCCAAGAGGAUUUCAAGUUCACAGGCAUAAGAUGUUUAGUUAUAUUUUGUUCCACACUUCCACCUUUUUUAUUAUCAUACAUCUUAUAUCUUGCUAAACUGAGACAAAGCAGAGUGCAUUAAAUUUCAGUUUGUAGAUGAUUUCCAAUAUGCCCCUGAGUUUAGGCUUUACAUGGUGACCACUGAAAUUCCUGCAUGCUUAAAUUGCAUGUUUAGUGCGUACAAUUGAAUGAUCAUCUAAGAUGUGAUGCAUGAACAUAUGAUAAAGGUGGAUCAAAUAUGUUUGGAAGCAGAAUGAACUAUAUAUAUAUAUAUAUAUAUAUAUAUAUAUAUAUAUAUGUAUAUAUAUGUAUAUGUAUAUAUAUAUACAUGUAUAUGUAUAUAUAUAUAUACAUGUAUAUAUAUAUAUACAUAUACAUGUAUAUAUAUAUACAUAUAUACACACACACACACACACACACACACAUAUAUAUAUAUAUAUAUAUAUAUAUAUCCUAACGAGGCAGGAAGAAUGUCGCUUGUGAAUAAGCUAUUCUUCCUAAUCUUGAUCACCUUGUUUUUCGAAUCUAUUACCGUUUUGGUGUUCCUAUGAUGCUCAUGUAUGCUCGUAGACUGUGAAGAAAUGGAUUAAAGGUGUUCUUGAAUCUUUAUGACAUUAAAGGUUUGUCUCAAUUGGAUUGUGCCUGAGGUCUAAACUGGGAUUUUAUUGGCAGUGGAGCAUGGUUUACUAAAACUCAAGCUAUCUAAAAUUUGAAAUUAGGGUUGCCAACAUCAAGGUUUAGAAUCUCCGUCUAAUAUUGAGAUCAGUUGGUGGUCAGACCAUGGAUGCGAGGAGGUGGUGGUGACUGAAGUUUGUGGCAGUGGGGGAGGUGGAGUCUUCGACCAAGGUGAAGGGAGGGAAAACGUGGGUGUUAGCGAUGGAACCUUUGAGGCUGACGUUGUUGGUGCAGGAUCGUCUUAAUUUAUCUUUCUUUAAAAUAAUUUUGUUAGUUAUGUUGUAUUUUGCAAAUGUCAUAAAUUGUUAUGUGAUUUCUUCUAUGAUCUUACACGAGUUAUCAAUAUUUUCCAAAGAGAAAAAAAUGGAAAACCCAAAAAAGGAGACAAUUUUGUGUUUGAUUUGACUUUCUGAGGAAUAAGGAAGGAGUCAAAUCUUGAGCUUGAUUGGAGAUUCCAUAUCUUAAUUGGAGAUUUCAUUCCAUGAUAUGGAAGUUAACAUAAAAUGAAGCCUAACAGUUAAAUAUUUUAUCAUUAAGAAAACUAUUUCCUAAAACAAAUUUGAAAAUGUAUAUAUAUAUGUAUAUGUAUAUAUACAUAUAUAUACACAAAUACAUACAUAAAUACAUAAAUAUAUAUAUAUAUAUAUACAUAUAUAUAUAUAUAUAUAUAUAUAUAUAUAUAUAUAUAUAUAUAUAUAUAUACAGAUACAUAUAUAUAUACAGAUACAUAUACAUAUAUAUACACGUAUAUAUAUACAUUUACAUUCACACACACACACACACACACACACACACACACACACACACACACACACAUAUAUAUAUAUAUAUAUAUAUAUAUAUAUAUAUAUAUAUAUAUGGUUGCGUAGUAUAUUGUUGUAUCUAGGUGUCUACAAAAGGGGGAAAGGGUUGUUACUCGGAACAUUAGAGAAUGGAUGAUGAAAGCUUUUCCCAAUAGUAUGAGUGGUGUGACAUCUCUAGAAGGUGACUCUUAGAGCCAUGCAUAUCUAAUACUUACCCAUGGUGUGGUGCAUGAGGCAUGUCUAGUGCCAGGCAAAGAUCACAUGAAAGCCAGUAAUUACUGGUUCGUAUUAUUUGCUUAUUGCAUAGGGUGAUACCUGACUGCACAAGCAUUUAUAUUUGCUAGUAAUCCUAUGGCCAAUGCCUUGACUCUUCCCACUUUUCAUCUAUUAGCCCCCUUCUGUCUUCUCUUAUUUUUCUUUAAUUGAAAACGUUGGUAAAUUAUCAAAUCAACCUCGCAUUUUAAGAUAAUAUUGCAUUAUUUACCAAAUCAAGAUUAAACUGAAGUCAAAUCUUUAUAUUAUUAUUAUUUUGAAUGGUUUGUUUCUUGCCUAAGUUUCAUUUGUUUUUGUGUAUAUGGUACUUGAAUGCUUGCUUCAAAUGCAUCCUUUCCUCGUGCAGCUGAGUUUGGUUCUACACUGAUAGGUGAAUGUUUGCAUCAGAUAUUGGCCUCAGAUUUGGUUUACAUCCCUCUGGAACUUGAUCAUAUAUCACUAUUUUUUUAAAUUUGUGUACAUAAUUUUUUUUGUUAAUGAUUUAUAGAAAAAUGACAUUAAAACAAAUGCCAAUGCGGUCCAGCAGCAUGUCCAUUAUUGGUUGUAGUAAGGUCAAAAUUGUAUUUGGCCUGAGAAAAUUUUUGGCGUGGCUAUAUGCACCAAACUUGUUAAACUCACGAUCUGGGUUGUAAGAUCACAAGAUACAACAAACCAACUCAUCAAAUAGUCAAAAGUCAGGCCGGUUUUUGAAAUAAAAAUCGAACAGGCUCAGGCCAACUUGCAAGUUGACUUGGUAAAAUUGGUUGAAUCAUUUGAGUUGACUCUAAUUUAUCGAGUGGACUCAAUGGACUCACAUAAAAAAAAACAUGAGCCUACAUGGUGCAAUGAGAAGACAUGGUGGAGCCUUAGCAAUUAGUGUCACAGCUACUGACAUCGCCAGUUGAGGCACCUCCUCUGCUGCUGCCACAGGCCACCCUCUUCUCUCUUUCAUUAUUACAGGCCAAACUGCCUUCUUUUAGCCGGUACACUUUUCUCCUCUCAUCUCUCCUGUUCUCUCAUCUCUUCUCUCUCAUUCUCUACCCUCUUCUCUCGUGGCUCCUGUUGUCUCUGCUGUCUUCUUGUGUUCUCUUUUUUCUCCUAUUUCCUCCCUCUCCAGUUCCCUCCCAUCUAUUAUCUUUUCUCCCCUAUCUUGUUCUCUCCUUUCCAAUCUCCUCCCCUUCUACAAUCACUCAAUAAAACAUGAAUUAAUUUCAGCCAUUGCCUACUGUUCAUGAUUACAAAGGAUAUGUAAUUGCUGUUAAAUUUUUGAUCCUAAGUUGAUGCCAAAAUGUUUUUUAUUUUAACUCCAUCUAAUUUUUUUUUUGGAAGAAUUGGCGACCUGACCUCUGAGGUUGAAUAUUUUAUUAUGAGACUAUAUAUCUGUGAUCUCUCUUUUCACGAGCUCAGUUUAUUCUCUUAUAAAAGCUGGAAUCAAAGGCAUAAACUUAUGACUACAACAAUGUAGCAGGGUUUUUCUUCCAUGUUUCAAUAAAAAAUCCAAUGCUGGAGUUAACAAAAUACAAGAAGUAAAAAAGAAAAGUAACGAGUACUUAAACCAUCGGUCCUUGUUUUCUUUUUCUAGAGUUCAUAAAGGCAACUUAGGUGCAUAUCAUGAUCAUAAAAAUAGCUCACUAAUUGGGCAAAUUUAAGGGACACCUGCAAGACUAACUUUUGAGACAUUGCCCAACUACCUCCUUUGAUUCAAUUGCUUGGCUUCUUUAGGCUUCUUGUGACACUCAACCCCACUCCCUCUUUUUUAUUGUCCUUACCUUCAAUGAGAUUUUGAAAUGUUACGAAGAAGGAAAGAAAAUGAAAAGAAAGAACACAUUCUUCAAUGAGACCAAAAUAUUAAGCUAAUAACUCUAAAUUUCUGCUUCAACUAUCAUUAGUAAUAUAUGAACCAAGGUUCGCCAUACAGCAAUGUAUCGUUCGGUACAGGUGAUAUGUACCUUUUCGAUAAUGGAUUGGUAUAGGCGGUACAUCGGUAUGCCUUCAUGUACCAUUUGUUGGUACACUCGGUAUGACUCGAUACAUCUCAGUACGCACCAUACCGAUAGCUGGUCUGUACAUUGAUAUGGACUAGUAAGGCGAACCAUGAUGUGAACAUAUUUGUUUAUUACAAUAGAAAUUACGUAGCUCAUAAAAUCACUCUUUUGUUAAUGAGUAUCAUUCUUAGUUUUGAUUCUUGAGUAAUGGAGAGAUCAAUCAAACCAUUGUAAACCUUAAAAAAUAUUAUUCUUUGAGAUAAGAGAUAUAAUAAUUCAAAUAUACAUUCACUUUAAUAUAAGUACAAAUAAUAACUUAAGGACAUAUAAUAGUUAAUCUUAUUAAGAGAAAUUAUUUAUAAGCAUAUGUAAUCUUAAAUUUAACUCAUAUAAAUUGUAAGAUUUUAUGAUCCAAUCCUAUGAUUUGAGUUUAUGACCUUUAUGAUCAUAGGUAGGCAAGCAAAUUUGGAAAUCUUGAUAUACAGUCUCUCAAAGAAUUCAAAUGGGAGAAAGCAAUUUGCCAGAGGGUUAGUCUUUUGAUUGGAUGAGAUGACUAAUCUGCCACUAAUUUCAUUACCUCGAAGUCCAUCCAACAGAAAAUGACUGCAGUAGAGGCUAUAUUUUGGGUGACUGAUAGAGUUCCUGUUUACUCUUAAGUGAGUGGAGUUUUGAGGAGACGUAAUAUGAGUAAUUAUUUGAGUUGUUUAUUGGUAUUUAUUGUUUAAAGCUUUGAUCAACUAUGUUGAGGAAUUCUCAUGUGAGGAUUAGAGAUACUAGUAUCAUCCGUUGAUAAACAAUUUGAUUUGUCUUCAACAAAUUAAUUAGGUAUUUCUUGUUAAGUUGAUCUUCAGAUAUAUCAUUUUUAGUUCAAAUUGACUGUCCAGUAUAUUAUUUCAGUUUCUUCUUUUGCAUUUAGGCUGCUUAGAUGAACUUGUACAUGCUUGACACCUGAGAUAUUUUAUUAAAAUAAAAAAUACAAAAUGAAAGAAAAUGGAAAAGUGAAUCUAUAAAUCAUCAUACUGUUAGUUCUCAAGAUCCUCCUUUUAGAUUCAAGACUUUUCCUCCCACUCUCAUUAGUCAUCAAUGAAUUUUUCUUUAUCUUUUAAUCUGUUUUCUUCAUUUAGACUGUAUCAUUCAUGUAUGAUUUAUGGAACUUUUUCAUCAUGAUUUAGGCAUUCUACUCUAGACACUGAAGCAGUUGCUGGAUUAGUGACAACCAAUCAGGUUGAUGUUUUCAGUUCGUUUACUGAAAUAAUUUUUUUGUUUAUUAAUAGUUUCACUUCUUUAUUAGUAGAAACCUUUAUUUAGUAAAUCUUUUACAGGGUGUAGAUAUCUUCGAAGAGGAACUCAAGAAACUUGUAGCAAUGGGUUUUGAGAAGGUAUUUUUAUUGCAUAUGGAACUCAAGAAACUUGUAGCAUUGACUAUUUCCUUCUGUAGUGGAAUCAGCCAUGGGGAUUUGCUUAUGAAAUUUUGGGUACCUUCUCUAUUGUUUGAAGCAGGCCUCGAAUUGCAUCAAACAACGUAGAACAUGGAAAUGAAUAAAUGCUAUGCAGAAUCUUCUAGUCACUGUGGUGAUGGAACUGUCAUUGUGAAAAAAAUUCUCAUAUGAUCUUCUAGUCAUUGGUCCAGGAAUAUAAAAAGUGAUUAUUUUGGAAAAGAAAGGUAGAAAUUGUUGAAUGUCAGUUUAAAAGUGCGGUGGUUGCUCACAGUUCAUCUAAGCUAAAUUGAAAAACCUGAUCAAAUUCAGUCGUGAUUAUUAAAGGUUAAAACUUUCGCUGCUAAAAUCAACUCAUGAAUUUGAAGCUUCAAUUUUAUUGCAUCUUAAUCCUACUUGCAUUUGUCCCCCAUGGGUAUCCCUUUUGUGAUUUCUGCUAAUAAGUUGUUCUCACAUCUAUGUAAUCGCUUCAUGUAAUUGAUUUGGGAUAAGAGUUUCCCGAGCAACCUAUUUAUUUUAGGCUGCCAAGUUGUGACUUUAUGCAAUCGCUUUACUGCAGACUGAAGCUGAAGUUGCCUUGGCUGCUGCCGAUGGAGAUCCUAGUGUUGCCAUUGAAAUUCUAAUGAGCCAUCAGCAGCAGGCAUGUCACAUUCCUCCCUUUUAGUUGGCUAAAAUUUCGCCUUCACCUACCUAUUAGACUCUAUUUUUCUUGACAACACAGGGAUAAGGAUCUGGGAUAUGCGCUUGGUGUGAGCAAAUUCAUGGAAGGACAUACAAAGCAGUGUCGAUCUACUACUUACUACCUCUGCACCUUUGUGCGUUUCCAGGAUUACGUCCUUGCUACGUGAGUCUUCAAUUUUCAAGUUGUGGAAUACGAUAGGUGUAACACUAACAUGGAAAUGCACAAAUUUACUCGCAAAUGAUAUGAUAUAUAAAUUGGUUGUGGCUGGAUCAGAACAUGAUGAUAGUUGGUGACUAGAAGACCCAAAUACAAUUUUUCAAAAGAGUCAGGAAGGAGAAUGCGGAAUUAAAGUUUUCACUAAAUAAAACCUUGGUAAAUCAAAACUGAAACGUAACUGUGACUUUUUUUCUUUUUCAUUUUUAAAUUCGAAAGUUGGAUUCGUACUUGCAAGUUGCACUACUAUUUUGUUCGAAAUAGGUUAUUCUAUUUAAUCACAUAUUGCCAUUGAGAAAUAGCCUAUCCUCUUGAUUUAGUGUGUGUAAAACUCAUAUAAGAUUUAUAUGUUUUGUUUUGCGUGUUAUUACGGAGUAGUUUCAUAUCAUUUGAUGUAUCCUUGUGAGAGUUUUAUGUCUGUAACAGACAGACGAAAUGGUAGGGGGUAAAAACGACUAUACAUUUGUGCACAUUUAUAUGGAGAUGCGAUGAGAGGGAAAAUGGCUUCUUUAACUUAAUUCUUGUAUAAAUUCAUCAUCUUAGUCUUCUGUAUCUGCAAACACUAGAUAAUAUGUUGUACAUGCAUUGUUAAGAUCCAUUUGUCAUUGCAUCUAUUUUGGAAAUAGAAAUUAAAGAUUUUAUUUUGAUAAUUCUUACUGGGAAAUUUAUGCAUGAGAAAUUAUCAUGAGCUGUCUUUUUUUUGUUGUUGUUGUUUUUUUGUUUGAAUGGACAUGUUUUUUUUAAUUCUUCUUCUCUUUUUUUUUUAUUUUAUUGAGUAGACAAAAGUAUGCCUGUGUCUUUUUUGCUUUAUUUAUUAUAUGGUAAUGAAUCUAUCAAACCUAAAGGAGUAUAAACCAAAUCAAAUGGGACCAGUUUGAUCCGAUUGUGGUGUCUUCUCCCUCCUACAAAUGUUUCUUCUUCCCAUCCAUUCUCUCUUAUUUCUUGGUGUACCCAAAUGGAUUUUCUAUGUUGAGGCUUGCAGAUUCUGUUUUGGCAAUCAAACUUAUCACCUUUUCUACCUUCCAAUCUCCAUCUCCUCCCUUCUCCUCUGCUAGGCCACCAAGUUGGAUCGCAUGAACUAUUAUUUCAUGUGCCACUGCUUUAAAGAGGCUUGAAGCAUGGCCAUUAUUUUUGAAAUGACUCCUAAAAUCGUCAUAAAUUAAAAACCAAUGGACAUGCAAGUUUGAAGUGAUAUAUAUAUAUAUAUAUAUAUAUAUAUAUAUAUAUAUAUAUAUAUAUAUUGUCUUACUAUACUCGAAGAUGAACUGAAAUACACAUAAUCAACCUAAGAAUUAACGACCAAAGAGCUAGCUAUAUAACCAAAGAGGCUUGGGGGGAGGCACAUUUCAAUACAAAGUAUGUCCAAUAUAAAGGGAUGACCAAAUACUAACAAUUAACGUAGAUGAAUAGAUACAUAGUUAAAUGAUUAAAUCUAUCAAAGGUUGUAGGAAAUUAACUUGUUUUAAUCAACUUUUUCGUAGAUUAAAAUCCCAAAUAUUUUUGGUAAAAAAAAAAAGAAAAGAAAGAUAAUCGAUUGAUGGCAAAAAAAUCACCCCCCUGUUCCUCCUAGAUGAAAGUAACUAUAAUUACUAAUAUACACCCAAAACUCCCAAUGUUGAGAAAGGCCAACUUUUAGGACCAUAAAGCUCCGAUGGUCCCAAGGCUCGAAGGAGAAAGAGGGAGGCGGUUGUUUUGACGCAGGCCUAAGAGAGAGAAAGAAAGGACAACGACUCUUAGUAAGUAGGUCGCGUCGUCGUUCGGGGGGAGGGAGAAACGACUGCGAAGGUCCAAAGGCUCUCAGAGAUGUGAUGCACCGCAUGUAGCCGCCAUGCAUAACAACAACACCAACAAACUACCCCAACCAAAAAGGAUGAUGACCUACUUACUACUACUUAAUGUUUCAAGUAUAACCUACUGUCUAAACAAGGGGGGGGGGGGGUCUUGAAAAAUAAUAGUGAGAGCUCAAACCCACACACUAGAAAGUGGAAACAAUCCCCGUAUUGUAAACUACAUAAUGUUUCAAGUAUAACUACAGAACGGACGAUCGAGUAAAUUUGGUGACCAUCCUAAUUCAAAGCAUAACCACUGUCAUGUUAACACUUUGAACCGCACCAAAGAAUAACCUAACCACUGCAAUUAGCUAAAAUAUGGAUUAACAAUAUACAACUUAUUUACAAAAAUUUCUGAGACUACACUCAACUUAACUGUCUGCUAAAAACAAAACAAAUCAUGCAACCUCAUUCCGAAGGAUCAAAACAAAAACACCCUAAAAGCUGCCCCCCUUUUUAAAUAAAAAAAAUAAACAGGGAAGGGAGGAGAGAAUAAACUAGUGAGAACACAUUUCUUUUCUGUUGAAGUUGAAUAUAUAACCUGACCAGCCAUAUUCACAACACAGUGUUGAUAUGUAGUGCUUUCAGUAAUGCCGUCGCCAUUUGCUUUACCAAGACUUGGCCUCCAGACCGCUGACCAUCUCUCCGUUCUUCAAUAAGACUCUGGAGCUUUUGGGGCAAAUCGUUCUCCACUAUGAGUUGCUUUGGUUUAGGGUGGUGUUCGUACACAGCCUGAAAUAAUAAAAGGCAGCCCAAUGUGUUUACUGUGGUAAUAACUAACAAACUAGGAUGCACAUAUAUUUGGAGCCAAAUGUUUUUACUGUGGUAAUAACAAACUAAGGUGAACAUCUAUCUCUUUGGAGCCCCAUGACUUGGAUACGCGUGAGCCACAAAAAUACUAAAGGAAGACCAAUGUGGUUGCUGUGGUGAUAACAACAAACCAAGGCGAAUAUCUAUUUGGAGCCUCAAUGACAUUAUUUGUAGUAAACCACUGUUUUCUCAUUAAAGCUGACAAAGAUUACCUUUAUUAGUUUCAGCAGGUUAAGACGGGCAAUAGCAUCUUGAUGAUCAAGUCUUGCCACUAGCAAUGUUGUUAGACCAUUGAUGGCCAUGGCCGUGUUAAUUCUGGAUGAUUUCCUGCAUUUUCAUUUGUCGAGUCAGAAAUCAGGAAACUAACAUAACAACUCAGGAAUAUCAGAUCAAAGAGCAAGAAUAAAAUGUGUGUUCCAUUUCUUACGUAAUUAUCUUCAAGAAAGGCUCCAAAAUGUGCACAAAAUAUUGUUCAGGACAGUUCUGAAAGAACUUCACUAAUUUCUGUAUUGCUUCCUUCUUCAGUAAUGCUUGUUCUACUUUUCUUUGGUCGUUAUCAUGUGCCAGGCAGACUGCAAUUGAAUCCAAUGCUAUCCCAGCCCAAGCUUCAUCCUCCAGUAGGUUCAAGUACACAUCCAAUCCUCCAUGAGCCCUCAGCUGCUCCCUUGAGUUUCGAGAUGCAUGGGCCAUAUCACACAGUAGAGGCAAUGCAUAUUGUUUGAGUGGUGAAUCUGACAUGAUAAAAUUCAUCAAGUGUGGGAUUAUUCCAUUUUCAGCAGCCUGUUCCUGUCUCCUCUUGUUUAUCUUGCAAAGGUUGAAGAGCGCAUUAAGGACCUUCAAAUCAUCAGAAAAUUUAAUUAGUCACAUGUCACUUGCCAAUGUAGCAACAGAGAACAUCAGAUGAAUGCAAAUUCACUGAAACCUAAAGAUAUGACCACUGGAUUGUGCAUUUCUACAUAAAAGACUGAGAAAAUAUACAUAAUAUAUGGUUCAAAAACUUGAAUUCCCUAUUUUGACUUCAAAAAACUUAGCCUCGAGAACAAUUAAUACACAAUGUACAGAUAUUUCUCGGGUUAUGCACAUCGCAUGACAAUACAUCACACUAAUCUAUAUUUUCGUAGUUGGCAAUAAGAGGUGUUUGGGAUCCGUUUGGUAAAAAGGUAUUAAUUGAAAUAUUCUUUUUCUUGAAAAAUCUAUUAACAUGAAUAUAAAUAAAAGGUGUUUCAUGUUUGGAUUAUACAAUCAUCCUGUUUUUAUAAUCCAGACCAUCUAAUUCUCCCUGGUGAGAGAUUCAGAAAAUGUAACCCAAGAAUUAGGUUCAAACUUCAAAUCAUGUAAUUAAAAAUAUAAAUUAAGUACUCAAGUAUAUGAAGAUCUGAGGCUACACUUGACUACAAGUGUCGUAUAAGUUACCUAUACUUGCAUAAAUCCCAAAACAAAAUGAGACCAAACUAACAUUGUUUAUAACAUGACUAAAUAUACAACCAAGAAGUCAACCUGGUUUGCAUCAGUUCUAAAUGUAAAAUAAUUCACCAUUGUAACAAAUAUGCUACAUAUUAAUCAGGAAAAUCAGUUGUACAUGUAUGCAACUUCUCAUAACUUCAGGGCAAUAUACACAAUUAGUUUACUCACUUCAGUAUGUAUUUGAGAGAUAAGAGGCCCUUCAUGGAGUUGGAGGUUUGGAAUCAGAUACUUGAUUGCAUCAGCACGUUGAAAACUUUCUAAACAAUUUGGGUCCAUGGAUAAAUGGUGGAUACACUUUAAAAUCUGCAGUUCAAAAUAUAGAAACAUUUUCAGAAAUUUAGACUAGUAACUUAAAUAAGAUAAGAUGCUAUUUGCCAUCAGGGGAAGUCAGACUGACCUUUAGAAGAAUAGGAGGCUCCAUCUUAUUGAACAUCUGGAAAAGGCGAGCGAGCAAGCUUUGGCUACACAUGUAAGACUUCACCAAAGUGUUGGCUUGGGAAAAUUCUAAGAGAAGAUCUGCAACUUUCUCAAGAUAUUCCCUUGCCACAUCAGCAUUCAAUGAAGACGCCAUUUGUGACAGCAAUCCGGAUGAUGUAGUGCUACCAGGUCUAGCAUUUAAUACGCCAGAUCCAGAUAAAACACCAGCUGCUGCCUGUGAUGCUAAUCCAGAUGUUGAAGCUCCUUCAUUAGAGCUUGAUGACCCCAGUGUGGGGAAAGCCUUCUUGCUUGUUUUAUUUGAAAGUUUCAUAUUAAUAUCCAUGUUCCCAUCGUCUCGUCCAUGCCUAGAGACCUCUGCAAAGAAAGAAAGAAAACAAAAUGAAAAAAAUUAUUAAAAAAAAAAAGAAGACCAGAAGAUAUAUAAAUCAAGGAAUAGUGGGGCCAUGUAGGAAGCACCUACUUGAGUUUCAAAUUUUAAGUACCUACGAACUGAGCAAAUUACUCUGCAACCAAACAUUAUUUAUAGAAAUAGUUCCAUUAAUAGAAACACAAAAUUUGUGAAAGAAGUUCCAUGGAUUGCAAAAGAGAGCAUUAAUUCCCAAAUGGAGCCCUAAAUCCCAGGCUACCAACCUUAUCUGACAGAACCCAGUAAUAGAGAACCUAUAAAUAUUCUGUAACCAUAAAUAUGCGACCACAGGGAUAAUUAGCCUAAGAUGAAGAGGUUAUGAAGUAACUUUCAAGCAGUUCACCUAAUUCAUAUAAUUUACAGGAUCUUGGAACUACAUUUUUUUAAACACAAAACUCGGAUUAAACAUUUCACAAAUCAUGACAGAAAGUUCAAGACGCUUUUCACUGGUCCUCAUCUUUGUUAAAUGGUAUCAUCGAGGAACUGCCUUUAUAGGAACAUACCACAUGAAUUGGAAGGCAGACUAAGCCACAUUUCAGUUGUACCUUGAAUUUGAGAGAAAAUAGCAGAGAUUAUCAAGAUGUUAUAGUGAGCCAUCAAUUGUAACUAACUCUGACUCAGAAGCAUUAUGCCUAAACAGGACAGAUGCCAUGGAGUGUCAUAUCGCUCAAUAUGGUACAAAACAAGCAGUACAUUUGUAGGCAUUGGGCAUUAAAGGCACCUUGGUGCCAAAAUGCCGAGGCGAUAGGCUUUGCUUGGGCGCUCCCGAAUAUUAAAAUUUUUUAAAGAAAUAUCAUGAUCAAUAAAUAUGAACACUAAAAUAAAGAUGACUCAUCAAAAUGCAUUCAAGAUCAUCAAAUGACAGUUAGUAAUUAUCUUAUGAUCAUUCAAGAUCAUCAAGCAUAUCCGCACCAUACCUGGAAGUUUUUUUUUUUUAUAAAAACCCCUAUAUUAUCAAAGUUGGAAGGAAGUUAACAAUAAUCCAUAAAAAAUAAAGUUAGUUGAUCAAGCAUAUCUACACUUUUAAAUUAUAUAUAAGCUGCAAGAGUAAACAAACAACUCUUACUCUAGAUAGGAAAGAUCACUGUAUCCGUAAUUCAUAAUUUAUUAACUAAAAACUGAUCAUUAAUAAUGUUCAUGAAGGAACCCAACAAAUACCUGCAAAUUCUGCCAUCAGAAAGUCAAGUUCACCAUUUGUCCUCUUCUCAGUUGAAGAAUGCAACAGUGGCAAUAUGCUUUCAUGUAUUUCCAAUCCAGAAAGAUGACGUACAUAAUCCAGCUGUCCCAAGACAAGUCGUGAAGGUGGUUCCUUUUCCAGCAAGCUCAGGAGUGGCCGAAUUUGUUCAUGUUGAGAUACUAAUUGAUUUGCACCACUGGAGUGACCAUUUAAUGCAAAUUCCAUAUGUUUUGGAGGCUUAUCAGUGGAACUUCUAACAACAGAAUUUGUACCUCGCUGUUGCCUAGAUAAGUCAACAUCCAUAUGUGAAGGUUCAUGAUCCCACAAAUUAUAAUGUUCAUUCUCCUUUGAUGCUUCCAAUUGAGCAUAUCUUGGGAGAGUCCUUUCUCCAUCACCAAAAAAUUGCUUGUCCAACUGGGUUGCAUCUGUCCGUUGAGAAAAAGAAGCUGCAUUUUGCAUUUGCUCUUGCACUCCAGAUGAAAAAGGAUGGUCAUGCCUAACCUUAGAAGCAUCAAUUUGACACAAGUGGGAAAUUGGUGAUUCAAACUGCAAACAAGCAGGACGAUUAAGAUGGUCUAAUGGACCAGAUCUCGGUCUUGAAGCAGAACCAUUCUGUGGAAUGGAUACAUUUCCAUCUAUAGAUGCUAGCCGAGUUGCCUCAUUCAAACUGUAGAGCGUGUUGACAAGCCUAAUAAGUAUGCCAUUCUUUGCAGCAAUGCAACAGAAGUCAUUCCUUGGGGUUGAGUGUUUAAGCUUAAAAACCUGCCACAUGCCAUCUAUGGCAAGAUGAACCAUUUCCCUGGCAAUGGAGGAAAACUUAUACAAAAAAUAAUAGAAAAUCAUUCACGAAAUGGAUCAACUAACAAGAUGGUAAACCAACCUGUACUUUGCAUAGUCAGCUUCAAGAAAGCCCACCAGAACAGGUAUUCCACGGCAAGCGAUGAACAUUUGCAAUGUCAUAGUGCUAAAUGAUAAUGCAACAUGAGUUGAAAAUAACAAAAGCUAAUCUAUAAACGUGAAAAAUUAGAGAUGGAAGUAAGCCUGAACCUGGACUGGCAAAGCUGUUGAAGAAAAAAAGCUGCCUGCAUGCGAACUUCCCUAGGAUGAUCAGGAACUGCAAAGUUCAUUACAACUGGAAUCUGCAUCCCCAGUUUGAAAUCGACUUCAUAACUGCGACUCUAACUUAUCCACUAUAAAAAUCUUAUAAGAGAAGUUAUCUUACUAGGCCAACAAGACAAGCAUUCUCUUGAAAACCAAUGUUGUCUUUGAUUAUAUGAUUGAUAACUUGAAGUACAGAGCAUAUAACCUGUAGAAACCUCACAAAAUCAGUUAUUAAAAUGUAAAAGAAUAUUAGGUUAUCCUUAUGAAGCUUCACACAAUUGUAUCAUUUAGUAACCAAAAGUUAAUGCAGUACAAAAUUCUAAUUGUGUAAAUGAGUGAGCAAAUUUACACAGUUUUUAGGAACUUCAAGAAGAUCCAUGAGUGGUAGAAAACCAUGCUGAGACAAAUAAACAUGUUUCUGCUCAGGACGCUGAGUGAAAAACACCAUAAGCUUCUGGCAUGCUGACAACAAUACAUCUUCAGAUGCUUCGGGCUUUAGCAAACCAACUAUCUUGCUAAAUUCAACAGACUACAUAGGAAAAAAGAAACAAAAUAAUCACCAAGUACAAAGAAGGCAUAUGUCCUAAAAUCCAGUUUAGAAAAUAUGUAUGUAAUUUGCAACAAGCUAAAGUACAAAAUUUACUCUUAUCAUACAUGUCUUUGCCCAUAGUAAAUCAAGCAAUCAAGAACACAUUUUUGCUACAUUCUGGAAGCAAUAUCAAAUUGACAUAUUCUUGUUAACAGAUAGUGAGGCAUAGUAAAGCUUCAGAGUGCAUAAAACUAUGAAAAACUGAAUUGUUGUUCCAAUAACCACAGAUUGACUAGCAAAAUAAACCAGAUUGUUGUUCAAAACCAAGGGCAGAAAAACCAGGCAGCAUAGUACGGCAUGGCCAGUAUUUACCCAUCCAUCCAGCUGUCGGUUCGCUAAACAGGCCCAAGCAGGGUGAUUCAAACCCGGUACAAGGGGUACUGCCUCGUACAUUUAUACCAGUGAUUGCAAAAGGCGCUCGGGCACUCGCCUAGGCGCUCGGGCGAGGCGAGGCGAGGCCCGAGCGCCUCGCUAAUGUCCCAGGCGGCGCUCUUCAAUCAGGCGCCGCCUGGGCGCUCGCCCGAGCCCAAGCGCUGGGCGCNNNNNNNNNNNNNNNNNNNNGCUCGCGCCUCCUGCGAGCCCUCUCGCUGCUCGCGUCUCCUGCGAGCCCUCCCGUGAGCCUUCCCGCUGCUCGCGCCUCCCUCGAGCCCUCCCGCUGCUCGCGCCUCCCGCGAGCCCUCCCGCGAGCCUUCCCGCUGCUCGCGCCUUCCGCUCCCUUUCCCUUUCCGGCUGCCGCUGCCGCCGCUCGCCGCUGCUGCUGUCGCCGCUCGCUGCUGCCACUGCUCGCCGCUGCUGCUGCCGCUGCUGCCGUCGCUGCUGCCACCGCUCGCCGCUGCUUCCUCGUUUCUCCGUCAGCAGGUUUAUACUGUUAAUGUGAUUAUAUUUAUUAAUUAUAUUAUAUAUUUUUAUAUUUUUAUUUAAAAUUUUAAAUAAUUAUAUUUAUUAAUUAUAUUUUAUAUUUUUAUAUUUUAGCGCCUCGCUUCGCUCGGGAGAGCGCCUAGCGCCUCGGGCGUUUUUGGACCUUGGCGCCUUUUGGCGCCUAGCGCUUUUUAAAUCACUGAUUUAUACCAGCUGAAAAGGUGGAAUUUUGACUGAUACCGACCUGGGGGUUCACACUAAUGGGGUACGGCUCUGUCACGAACGGUCAUCGUGCACCUGCAACAACUUCGUUCAACGAACCGUUCGUCACUUUUGCAUGCUUGUACAAAGACAUGAUAGCAUGUUUGGCCCUGGUUUUGUGUGUUUUUGCUUGGAAAAUGUAAGCAACGACAGUUCGUAGCGCUGUAGUACGAUCGCUCAUCGCGCUGGGCCGAACUUUCCAAAAAUGGCUCCGUUUUCGCGUGCCACAACUUGUUUUCUGCACGCCGCUGCUGCACAUGAAAUGACAGCCAUCUCAACACCCUGGAACCCCCCGGGUGGCACAGGGCUGGAUGAGGCUUCGGUAUAUCGUCGGGCGUUAAACAAUCUUCACAAGUUCGCACGUUAACUUGACGGGAACUUACCUUCGCGCCCGGCACCCGGUGAGUAGUUGUUUGUGGACUUGCAACUGUUAGUUCUACCUUCUAAAGUCUUUGUUUUCUCCUUCCUCUCUUUUCUCUCUUGCACUCAAGGUACUCGCUGAAUUGCUUGUAAAGUUUCCCUCUUCGCGAGACGUCGGGACUUGUCCAUUGCUCGUUUUCAAUCUAAUCAACUUUUUGUUUUACAAGUCCUUGGGGACCUGUACGAGGUUGCAACUAGGCUGAACCUUUGUGGACGCAUAUGUCGCAAGGACGCCUCAUGACUUGGGCAAUCCCGUCUAAGUCUGAGGAGUUGGCGCUAGGGUGCUUCACGACUUAGGCAACUUCAGAUAAGUUCGUGACUUUGCCGCAAGGGUGCCUCACGACUUAGGCAAUUCCAGCUAUGUCCGUGACAGCUCGGUACACCUCUAGUACCAAUGAAAUUGUUAAAUCUUGGCUAUUACCGAGUUAUACCGGUCAGUAACCAGUAACAUCCAGAUUUUGACCAGAUAUUGUAGCCAAUGGUCAGAUUAGCUCCAAUUUGACCAUUGGCAGUUGUUCGGGGCUUAUUUAAGCCCUAUUUGGUGCCUUCUCAUCUCCUCUCUCUCUCUCUCACUCUAGCUCACUCAUUCUCAUUAUCACACUCAUUCUCACUCCAUCUCUUGAUUUUUGAUUUAAAAGUGCUUAAGCUCCUCAAUCAGUGAUUAGGGAGAGCUAAUUUGGAUAAAAGAGGGAUUCAAUGUCAAGAUUCUAUCAAACAUCUCUUCAAGUUACGAUUUUUAACUAAUUUCCAUGUUAUUUUCAUCAUUUCAUGUAAUUAGCUUAAGGAUUAUAUAUAUUUUUGACUGAUUAGGAGUUUGAUGAUUAAUUAAGUCCUAAUUAGUAAUUAAGAAUAAAGAUCACAUUCUUUCAUAUGUAGAUUUCUUGCAUCAUUUAGGAGCUCAUUCUACUUGUUUAACAGCUAAUAAAGGUUUAUUCUUGCAUGAUUGGAAAGAACAAUCAUAAUAAGUAAUUGAUUAUCAUUUCAUUGGCACUUGAUUAUCAUAACUAGGAUUUUUUUCAUCCUCUAGAGAUAAGAAGGGUGUUCUGAGAACAACUUGAUGCCAGAAAAGCACUUAAACUACAGGAGAAGGCCAGCUGAAAGGAAUCUAAUAUCCAUGCUCUAGAGGAACCAAUAUACAUAGAGUAUGAGGGUCAUAGCUGAUGUUGACAUGGACAUUUCAACCGGAAUAUGGGCUUCAUUGGAGCAUCAGUAUAUGUACAAGAAGGUGAUGAGAUAUCGACCGGGUCACUCACAUUAUGAGCAUGACAAUGCAAACGGCAGCAUAAAUGAACCAAGUCAGUUUACUUGAUCUUCAAAGUCACAGCAAUAACCAUUACCAGGCCAUAGAGAAUGGGUAGGAUUGCCCCUCAGUUCGACAAUGUAGGUAGUAUGAGGCAAUCUGGAUUAUGAGGUUUCAUCAGAAGAAUUAGCACCACCCAACGUGCUCAAGUUCAAUCUUGCUGCUUACCCAUGGUCAUCAGCAAAACAAAUACAGAUCAACAAUGUAUUUAAAGGAAAAGAUGGACACUAGGAAAGUCAUUAUCAAGUGGUUCAACGUGCACAGGAUCACAGUCCAUACAAACCAAGGUCUGUGCUACCAAAGAAUGAUAUCAUCAAUUCAGAAGAUGAAUCCCAACAUACAAUAUCCUAAACCAAAUGAGGUACAUGGCACCUAUCUACAUGGUAAAGCAAAGAUCCAAAAAAAAGACUCAUAAGCAGUUCAAUAGCACCAAGAUGUUUGUCCUACAUAGAAAUUUGAUAUAAAGGAGCAAUUAUUAUCUACAACAUGGUAAAGAACUGAACAAUAAGAUGCCAGGAACACUAUAAAGAUUGAAAUGGUACCAAACAAUAAAUAAAAAGAGCACCAGAAUACAAGAGGUGUAAAGCUAUAUCAUGGAAGUUGAUUAGGAGUUACGACAAAUAAAUUGAUAAUCUAAAUACUUGUAGACACUCAUACCCAACUAAUCAUGCCUCUUAUUGGUAAAGGCAUACCAAAUUAUCACAUUCAGCUGCAAGAUGAACUUGUACAAUCACUAGGUUACUAUCAAAAAUGACCAACAAUGCUUAUUUUUGGAGUAUUUGUAUCAAAUGAGCUCUAGAAAAAAAAAAAGGAUUGCACCUUGUUAUCUUUAAAACACAACAGAAUACUAAUAAAUUUUCUCUUGACAUGAAUACACAAACUAUACUAUCAACUAUUGCACAUGUGCCAUCUAAAUUUGGUUAAAUAAGAUCCAUAAAUUCCAUGUACUUGCAAAUCAUUUUCAGCUUAAUGAGGAUUCAAUUAAUGAAUUUGCUCAAAGAAGAACCAAUGCAAAAGAUUGUAUAGUAACAUUAAGAAAUUUACAUGAUCAAAUCAUAAGGUGAUAGUAUCUGAAAUAGUAUCUGUAAAGCAUCGAAAGUACAUCCGAUCCAUCUACAUUCUUUAAAUUUUAAUUCUAGAAAAAAAAUAACCACCUGAAUCGGGAAAAGGUUAUCACUCGGCAGGUUUUCAUCAAAGACCUGGUAAAUUAUAAAGCAACAACAAUUAGCAAGCAAAUACUUCUCAAAAUUCAAGCACUAUGUAUAGAAUAUAAAGAUUAGUAAGACUUGAAGACAAUAGUUCACAUAUACUCUCCAAACUUACCGAACCAUCAAUAUCAAUUACAUCAUUGUGCAAACCCGUGACCAUUUCCAAGAGCUUUCCACCAUUGUUCUGCAUUGCUCCCAUUUGUUUCUGAGCCAUCCUAGCUUUGAGUUCUUUUGCCAAGUCAGUUUGCUGACCAGCAGCAGAUGAUGAAGCUUCAAGACCUUGAUCUCUCUGUUUAUCUAGUGGCUGAAAUAAAUCAUCCAAGGAAGCAUCUUUUGCUGUGUCACUAAACCUACUGAGCUCAUUAACUCCAAAAGAAAUUGACUGCUUCGAAACCUUUAGAAUAGAUUGUCAGAUGAGAGACAAAAUUAACAAGAAAAAUAGUUGAGUCCAUAAAUUAGUUAACCAAUAUUGUAAAAGAUCACAGUGCCUAAAAAUAGUUUAUGUGGCAAGCAUAGGAAAGACAUAGGAAAGAACAAUAUUAGUAAAACCAAAAAAACCAAUGAGUAACAAAAAUAUAUUGUAUUGUAUCUGCAACUUGAGCUUUAUAAUAUAACCUUCUAGCCUGAUGAGCGAAAAAUUCUAGAUCAAAACUGAGAACAUAGAGGAUGCCAACACAGAAAUUACAUGAACAAAGUCUCAAAAGAAUGGGAAAAUGACUUCAAAUCUGUGUGCAAUUGUUGACUAGAAGCCAUCUUAUGCUCAGAAAAAGUUAAUGGUGACAAAAAAGAAAACUUCAUCACCAGAGAAACUAGUAUCUCACCUUUUGAAAAUUGUUUCUGUCAACUCUCGAUCCAAAGGAGAACAUACCACUUUCAUCAGGACUUACACCUCCAUCACCUUCUGGCACUACUGGACUAUUUAAAACUUCUUUAACAGGAGACUUCAAAGAGAGUUUUUCAUAGAUAACUAAGGUAGGAUCUUUAGCAGAAAGCAGAUCUUCUGCUUUACUUUCUACACCAUUUAAGCAGGUAUUCUGAAGAGGACUGGGUUUUUUAUCCUCAUCGGAACAUUUUAUUUGAAUAUAAUCAGUUGCCAACUGCUCUUUGUUAGAUUCUUCCUGAAGCAUGAAUAAACACGACAUCAUUUUCAGUACAGUUAUGAAUUACUUCUUAAACGCAUAUCUGCAAACUGAGAAAACCUCAAGCUUUGGCUUAUCACUGGGCAACAAAGAGCAUAGUUGUUGAAGAUCAGAUACACCACUCUUUAUCUUCUCUGCAUAUGGGCUAUCACUGCCAUUAUGAUUAUCCAUAUUUAAAUUGGUAAUACCCACUGUAACAUCCUCCUCAAUGUUCCUGAAAUUUGUACAAGUCAUUGGACCAAAUCUGCAGUAAUAAUAAGAAAUAAUAGCACAGCUCCAUUACACAUUGUAGUACUAAAGAUUACAUCCAAUAAGCAGAAAUCCAGCAAAAAAGAACUCAAACAUGUAAUAAAAAUUUUGCAAACGAUGAAUCAAAUGAUGUAUUUAUUUGGUAAUACCCACUGUAACAUCCUACACACUGUACCAAUCAAUAAUGUAUUGGUAUACACAUAUACUAAUGGUGUUAAGCAAUACCAACAUACUAAUCAACUUUUACAUUUAUUUUCAUUGGUUUACCAUGUGGAACAUCAUUUUGCCCAUAAAAUGAGCAGUAUGUACUAGUUCAUGCAUGAACUGUUACGUGGAUUACCCCCAGUGGUCUGGUCCGACUUAUUAAUAAAACUAUUUAUUAAAUGGUUUAGCGCUCGACUUUGUGAGCCUUUUUUGCCCAUGAGCCACCCGCCUGCUGUCGCUCACCAUGCGCCACCAAUUCCGGAUAUGUUUCCUCCUCUUCCUCCUCCUCCUCAUCUUCCUCUAUUGCUUCCUCUUCUUCCUCUACCGCAUCUUUUUCUUCCUUCCUCCUUUCUCCUCUUCCUCCACUGCCUCCUUUCUCUUUCUCUCUCUUCCUCCUCCAUCCUCCUCUUUCUCCAUUGCCUCCUCUUCUUUCUUCCUCCUUCGCCCUUCCUCCUCUUCCUCCACCACCAUCUGUUCCCUCCUUUUCCUCUUCAUCUUCCUCUUCUUCCUCUACAUACCAAUGUACCCAGGGACUGAUUCAGGUGGUCUGUACAAGACAUCAGUCCUUGGUUUACCAUACCGUGGAAUACUAUACACCAAUGUGACAAGGUUCAUAAAGACACCAAUAAUGAUAUUUGGACCUUGUACACUCUUUAGUACAUACACAAUAAAAAAAUUUUAAAGCCAGAAAAAUGAGGAAAUCUCAGUUUCAGUUUCAGCAAAAUUCUUGGAGUUUCUGAUUCAGCAAUUCAGUAGUUCCAGCAGAUUCAAAAUAACAACUUGCAGUAUCAACAAAAUAAGAAAAAUGAAUCAUAAAAAAAAUAUAAUUUAGCACUUUUUAUUAGAAACAUAAAUAGAUUUGCAGUAAGUAAAAUAUAGAAAAAAACGAACAGCUUUGAGAAAAAUAUAGAAAAAAAUAAAUACAUUUAGUACAAUAUAUAAGCCAUUUAAUGAUUUUAUCAAAAAGUAAUAAAACAUAAAUACCACAGAAAGUAAAUAGCUUUGCAGUAUUCAAACAAUCAGUUAUUUUUCCUAUAAGAACUGUACAAAUUAAUAAUAAACAAGCACAAACUUGUCUUCCAGCUGACAUUACAUAGAUGAGGUUUGCUAGUAUUGUUUUAUAUGCAAAAUUGAUAUUGCCCAUGAUUGAUUACUUUGUACAAAACUAUUUAUGAACCAAAAGUUUGCCCUCGCCUCAGUUUUUUUUAUUAAGCUUUUACCCCUUAUUUGCCCUUACCUCAUUUUUUGCCCUCCCUUCAUUGUAGUCUCAUGAGUGGGUUCUGCAGGCCUAUAAUUUUGAUUUCAACUGUUCGACAUUGGGGACCACGACCUGCAAUAUGCUCCAAUAUAAUGAGAUUUUUUUACUACAAGUCACCAGUAAUGACAUUUAUUUUUCUAUUACUUAAUAUUUAAUUCUUAAUCCUUGCUUCAAUACUUGUAAAAGUUCUCUUCAUAUGUGAGUUCCAAUACAGCUUAAGAACAUAUUUCAAUUCAUUAUUGAGCAAAAAAUAAAAGAAAAUUUUUAAUUGUCUUAAACAGAAUCUAAUAUGAUCAGAAUCAGUCGCCCAUACAGUCCAAUACAUGCCCAAACCAACAAACGGAAUUGAUGUGUACCAACGCCAAUUUGUUUGAGGGUCGGUACUGGUACUAGAUCAAGAUUUUACUACUUUUAAUUGAACAAAAAAGAAAGUCAAAAGAUGUUGUAAAGAAUAAGCAACUAAUGAUGUAUUGCAAAUAGAAUUCUUCAUUCACAUUUAGAGUAAUAUGCCACAGAAAUAAAUAGCUUACCUUAUUGAUCCACUUGCUUGACGCAGAGAGGAAUGUAAAGCACGCCUUGAGUUUUGGAUCCAUGGGUGCAAUAACAAUGUUUUUGCAUCUGGUCUGUGCAUUGCAUCCUGAAAAUGAUUCUUCAAGUAAGCAAUGUUACUGAAUAGAUUACAAGUGGAGCAAUGAUGGUACCAUCUUUCUACCAGAAUUACUCCAAGUAAUAAGUUAAUCUACCUUUUUGAAACAUUGAUGAAGAAAAUCAGUAAUGUCAGGUGAGAGGCCCUCAGGAAUGGGAGGAUGCUCAUCCUGAAAAUUAUAUUAAAUAAGACAUAUAUGGAUCAUAAAAAAAAUCAAGCCCAAUAUAAAAGGUAAGCAAUGAUUUGUAUCAGAAAAAAAAAUCAAAUGCCUAAGUGUUCCUUAUGUCAUCCAUGCAAAAUAUUGUGCCUACAUGGAUCUUUCUACUAAGCUCUGUCAAGUGCAAUAUUGCUAGUUUAAAGAAAGAUAUGUCAGAUCUUUCUUUUGUUAACUUUAGCAAAGCUAUCUUAGGUACUUCCUGACCUACACUUUAGAAUAUAUUGCAGGGUUUGAUGUCCAAUAAGUUUUUGUCAUUAACAAACACACAUGUUCACACUAGGACAAUAUGGUCCAACUAAGCAUAAAUGAUAAUCCGGAAAAAAGAUAUUUCCUCAUGCAGAAAGAAAACUAAGACAAUUUCAAUUCUAUAAUAAUCCACAUGCCUAUUUUUAUGAUCAAUUAAAAGAUAUAACAAUAUUAAAUGGACAUUCAAUAGCAAGAUCAACAAAGAAGAGUUUGAACCAACUGCAGUUAUAAACACAUAAUUGAUUAUACAUUUAGAAACAAACUUACGUAAAAAAGAUAUAUUCUAAAAUGUAGUUUACCUCGACAGUUUUUGUAAAACAUGGUAUUUAACAUAUCUAAAUCAUAAAUAUUUAAAUACUAAACCUAUUCCGAUUGCUUUAACUGAUCAUCUAAUAUCCAGAUUGCUUUGUAUUUGAACAUCCAAAUUCUGUCAUCCCUUAAUUUACUUGCAUCUUUUUUUUCAAUUUUCGUGUGUUUUCUAGAGAGUAAUGCUAAAUUUCCUUUUCUCUUCAAACAUAUGUAAUUACAAAGAUAUGCAAAGAAGCAGAUAAAGAAGUUUGCAAAAAAUGAGAAUGGGAGAACAGCAAAAAUAAGAAUAGAUAUUUCCAUCUAAAAAUAAAACAAAUGAAUCUCACUGUUCAAAUUUGUUGAUUCUCAUAUGUUGCACAUUAAAGUUUGCCAGCUUGAAAAAACUUCUGAUUUGGAUAUCUAUAGUUUAAAAUACUUUCAUCAAAUUAUUGCCAGGUGUUUCCAUCUGAAUCUUCAUGAAUAUGACAGCAUCAUGUCAGACAGAAAAUCUAAUAGUAUGAUGCUACUCCUUAUACAACCAGCAAGAACCGAUGUAAAUAACCUCCUAACAAAGAUUCAUCCAUAUAGUGCUAGGAGCCUGCUCGAGUUUAGGUAAGUAAUUUCACAUAAAAAAAUUAAUUGCUUUCUGAAAAUGAUACUUUCAGAAAAUGACUUUCAACUUUUAUUAGUUUGUUUAUCAUGACAUGAUGGAAGGAUAAAUUUAGUCACUUCAGUAGUUUGUUUGCUUCUGAUUAUUUGGUUUUGACUGAUGUACUAAUUAGGUGAAACCAAUUAAUUCAGUGAUUAGAUGAUCACUAAAUUCCAACCGAUCAGAGGGCAGUUGUUAAUGGCCAACAGGUCAACCAUCAAGCAAAUUACUAGUUGUUAGACGAUCAUCAACGGUUGACCAUCAGCAUACUGAUGUUCGCCUGAUUGGUUAAGUGGACGAUCAUUUGCAGUGACCAAGAGGUUAACAGUGAUAGGUAGCAAAUGUUUGUUAGCUGUUGCUAGGUCUGACCAUAAACAACUUAUAGUCACCAGGGUGAAAUUUACUAAUAAAAUUUCAUCCAUGAACUCCGAUAAAAAUGGCUUAUCCAGAUUGGCAGCUUACAUCAGUGUAUAAGCAGUGGCAGUUAAUGCCACAUGGGGAGUGUACCAAAUACCAAUACCCACAAGGAAACCAGGGAUGGUUAUCAGUGAGUCAAUUGACUCAUAAAUUGAAUAAACUAAAUCAUACUAGACUGGCCAGCUUCAUUAACUAGCCAGUUCAGUUAUUAUCCUACUUGUCUACUAAAUGGACAGUACUUAAUAUUUUGUGGUGAUAUUUAUUUCCUUGUUUGCCUGCCAAGGCUUGGCACUUGAACGCUCUGCCAAAUUGGUUCUCAACAAUAGUGAAGAGGCCAAGGAGAAAAAUACAAUGGGAAGGAGUCCAUGGUCCAGGUAAGCCAUUCACUUUUAUCAUGUCUUCUAUUUUUUCCGUCGCCUACAACACAUUCAAGACAUGGAAAUUUCUCAUUUCAUGCCAGCACAUGGCCAAAAACCUCUAUACAGAUAAAGCUUUAUUCCUUGCGGCAGUCUCUUUGCAGCAUACUAUUCCACCAUGUCACCAACCACAUAAUUUUGAAUUUUAACUCUUCUAUUAGCAAAUUGAAUGGAAAUGUAGGCUGAAAAGCCACAUACUGAAAGAUAUCUAUCCAUACCUGAACAAUCCGAAAUAGUGCAGGCAUUGGUUGCAGAUCAUAGUAUGGUGGAACACAUGUCAAUAACUCAAUGACAGUGCAGCCAACACUCCAGAUGUCUGAUGCAGCACAUACACCAGACAUUUCAAUAACCUGAAAGAGAUCAAACUAUUUCAUCCUCAAGAAGCAUGACCAUUUAAAGUUAAAUGAGACAUGAACUCAAUAAGGUAUCUGGCAAGACUCAAUAAGGUAUCUGGCAAGACAAUUAUAUCUAAUGAACAUAUUUAUAUACACCGCAAUCAUAUAAAAUAAAAUUGACACUGUAAUAAAAUCUAAUGAUGAACCCCUUGAAAUAUUAGGCAUCAAAAUACUGCAAGAAAAAAAGAUGAGCAUCAGAUUUUAGUGUAGUAAUACUAGAUAUCAAGGAUCGUGUACAACAAAGCCUUUUAUGUAACCAGAAGAACUUCCAGGAAAAGCUGGUUUUAUACAAGGGCAUAGACUUAACAAAUUAUAAGGAAUAGAUACAGGAUCUAAUAGACAAAAUAUCCAAAAUAAAACCCAAGAUUUUUAAUUUUGGGUACUGAACCCAAACAAACCCUGAGACGAACCCGUAUGGAUCUGAGACAUACCAGCCUACUGAGUUUCAGAAAUUUUCUAAAAACAGGAUAAAAAAUAAAAAAAAAUUACUGCAUGGUAUAAGCCCUGUACCAGGCAUACUAUCCACUUUAACAUGGUACAGGAGAUAUUUAUCAAUCCAACAGGUAACUGAUACAUAGAUAUAAUCAGUCAGUAUGUUCAUUACAGAGUCGGUACCACCUGGAUGGUACAGGUUUUGCAUUGGACAAUUUUUUCCAUCUUUUUUUUUUUAUUCAAAACUUAGUACAUACCAGUGUAAUGAGUGUUGAUACACUGGCACCGCCAAGUAUGGUACCAAUUUGAGCCUUGAUCGGUCCAGUAUGAAUAAGCGAAAUUGCGACCCUUGCUAGGUGGUAUUGCAAGCCUUAAUAAAAAGUUCAAAACUACUUAAAGAUUUUUUAAUCAUAAGGAUAAAUGGCUUCAUUACAGGUCUACUGAUAGUAGAUGAAGUUGGGAUAGUCCUGCAGUCCAGUGAAUGAUUGGAAAAUUUAAGAUGCUGGAAAAUAUUAUUUUUUUGAUAUAAAAAGCUAAGAUAAAAAUAAGGUCCAUAUAAAUUGUAGAAGAUGAUUUCCAUUUCAAAUUUCUAGAUAAAUAUUAUUUUUUGAUAGGAAAAGCUAAGACAAUAUUAAGAUCCAUAUAAAUUGUAGAAGAUGAUUCCCAUUAAAAGUUUCGGAGGAUUUUGAACAGUAGGUAACAGAGAAAAGUGGAAAAUAGGAGUACAGGCCUCCUUGGCCAAACCCUUAAGACAUCUAAUGCAACUGGAAAGACUAUAGGAACUUUACCUCACUGUCAUUGUACAUCACUCAACCAAAGUUUCUUAGUCAUUAUUGGACUCAAAUAAGGCAUACCAGCACAUCUUUAAUUUCCAUAAUGCAACAAUUCAGUUAUACCAGUCUAGAAGCCUCUAUACAACUGUAUCAUCUACCUACCUUUCCUUCUUUCAGGCACCUAAUAUUGAUCUAAUCAUCUAAAUUUAUCAAUCUGACUAAGUGGUCUAAAUAAAAGUUGAACAAACAGAUCUUUCUAAAUCAAGGACUCUUGCAUAUCAACAGGUCCCAGAAGACUAAGUAGCUGAAUCUUAAAAUUACUUUGCCAUAGCUAGACUGCUCCAAACAUUUCUUCCAAGGAAAUAAACACAAUGGUCACAGGAAAUCAAUUAAACAAUCAUCUUGAAAACUAAGUAAUUGGAUCUUAAAAUUACUUUGACAUAGCUAGACUACUCCAAUCAUAUCCUCAAGGAAAAUUGAUAUAAUGACCACAUGUGAUCAAUUAAAUAAGCAUAAAUAGACACCCAAUACUCCUUCAUUAAAAAAAUCAUAAAAUUAGAAAUUGCAUUUUCCAGUUGCUCAUUUUCUUGCAAAAGAUUCGAAUGGCUAAAUCAGAUGACAGUAAAUUGCUUUCUAUUAUAACAUUAUUUUUUCUAGCAACUGCAAUCUAGAAUUUGUACACAUGCUUGAGCAUCAGACACAAAUCCAUCUAUGAAUACAUGUAAGAACAUCAACAAUUUAAAAUGUAUAUACAUAUACAAAAUAGACGCUUGCCUGAACACCACAAACUAUAGUAAUAGAGCAGCUUGCACGAAGAGAACCAGAAAUGCAUGCACUAAUCAGCAUGCCUGAAACCCAUACAUGCUGAAAUAUAAAUCAUCAGAAUGUUGAAGUGUUUAUUGAGGCCAGUUUCUAACUACAUAUCAUGUAACCUGGCCGAAACAGUAAGUCUAGUAAAAGACUUGAAUCCAGACCAGUCAGCUUGAAUCCUGAUUGAUAUGUAUAUAUAAUCUUUAUGUAUGAUUCAAAGCCAUUCAAUCGGUAAAUGGACAAGCUUGCAUAACAAUAGAUAGAAAGCUUCCCCUAGAAUUUCCUUUGCCUCUUCUUGACUUUGCACGUCUCCUCUUUGACUACCAUUUGCUUACGAACAAUCAUCAGCAUGCUAUCAUUACUACUAUACUCACCAUAUUCAUCCUCAACCUGCUCUCAUAUCAACACCCUCCCAUUUUGUCCUUAUCAUUUAAGUUAUAACCAUUAUUAAUAAAAAUAAAGAUAAAAAGCUGUUAUCUAUAUUUCAUUUGAAAUUGAUAAGUUUAUCAUAGAGAUAAAUAAAACUAAAUGGAGACUUGCUGCUUCUCAUUAUUUUGUACUGGAGAAACACUAUAAGUUGCUCCUAUAUUUCAAAGCAGGCAAGGAAGCACUACUACAGCACAUAUCAGAUAAGCUGCAUGAAAGACCCUUUAUGGCCGAGUUUUUUCUUGGAGAAGAACAUAUUACAAACUAGUAAGAUGCUCAAAUAGGCAGCCAUUGCUAAAAAUUAGCAUAAGAAUUCCAUGGAGCAAUAUUAACUAGAUACUUACUACAUGGUAGAGUGAAAAAAAGGAAGAAAUAGAUCAUAGUAAAACAUGAUAGACAAAAAGAGCCAUAAAAUAGACUAAAUUUUCAGAAGAUCGAUCAUGAAGCAGAAAAGACAGCCUUCCCAUGAUAUUUUGCAGUUUCAUUCUGUUCUUUAAUUAGCACCUAGUUGUGGUUAUACAGACAAUGUUCAUUAACCUGACAAGCCAAAGUUAAAGAUUUAUUGAAGGCUAAUGUUUGUUCACUAAUCAUUGGUCAAACAUAGCAUAAAGUGUUAUAGCAAGUUCCUAAUAAUCAUCUGAGUCUAAAUUUCUACAUUGUCUUAAGUCUUAACAACUAUAAAAACUGUUAAUGUGAAUGAAAAAUUAUGGACGAAGACUGGCAAAUAUACACAGGUAAAUACCCAAUACUCCAAUAGUGUUUACCUCGGGAGCCAUCCAAUAUGGUGUUCCAACCACUGAAUGUGUAUUAACAUCUGCCUCAGUGAGCUUUGUUGCAACUCCAAAGUCAGCAAGUUUAACAAGGCCCUAAAGAUAAUUCUUAAAGAUGUCAAAACAAUUACAAAAACACAAAAAUAAGCAUCAAAAUCAAGUCCAAGUUAUAUGUGCUGAAAAGUUCACAGCAAUCAUCUUGAGAAAACAAUAUCAAACAGCUCAAAGAAGAGAAUUCUAAAGAACUUAACUAAAUAAUUUAAUCUAACCAUGUACUUGCCAAACGAUUAAGUUCUUUAAACAAGAAUAACGCAAACAAUAGAGAGCACAGGAUACACCAUCUGCUUCCACAAGUAUAUGCCAGAAUAGGCACAUACAGGUAGAUGCACAAAAACAGGUGUGGGAGUUUAUCAAUAGGAACAUGUAUCAUUAUAUAUAACUGUAGUAUAAGAAAGCAAGGUCAAAGAAAGAGACAGUUAUCUUCAUUCCAUAUAGAGACAGAAACACCUAACUUGUGUUGUAAAAAUUGCAAGUGCCAAUAGACAUGCAACAACUUAGUUGACACAUUCAUCCGAUAUUAUUUAUAACCAUUUCUUUAAGAUGAAAUGCUGCAACAGUAUAGAUUCUUAGAGUACUUUUUUUCUCUUUGCUGUUUACGGUCUUAGCAAAAAAAAAAAAUACAGGAAACUAUGUGGAUCCUUGAUAUCUUCUUUCCAGCAAUCUAUGCUAGAAAUUGUGUCAUAAAAAAAUAAGGCAACAAUUAACAAAGAGUAGACAUUAUGUUACAGAAAAUGUCAUCAGAAAGUGACUGUAGAAAGACUUGAUUUAAAAUAACAAUUGAAUCCAUAUAUACCAGCCAAUGUUUUCCAGUAAAAUCAAGGACCAACAAAGAAACCAUAAACUACACACCACUCAGUAUAUCAUUUUUUCAGUGAUACCAAAUGUUUCAGGUCAGUAUAUCGCUUGGUACCUUUGUAUUGUACCAGUCAAACUGGUUGCCAACACCAUUAUAGGACCAAUAUUUAAAAAUAUUGUUAGUGCAUCAACUCAAAUGUCUGUAUCAAGGUAACAACUGGUUCUAAAAGUAGCUUAGCAGUAACAGUAACAAUUAUGUGUAUAUUGAACACACUGCUAACAUGAUGAAAUGAGGACAUAUUCCUAUGGUUGAUCCUAAGAAAAAAAAAUUUGUCGGUUAUGAUUAGACAUCACUAGACCGAAGUGAUGUCCAUAGCCUGGUUUUCUAUACAGGCAGUGGCAUUGCAUGUGAAAUGUUCAAUAUGAAAACCAUGACACUGUCCAUUGCGAGAGAGGUGCUCCCUUCUGUCAAGCACAUUCCCAGAAAUUAAACCAUAAAUGUUGCAUGUCAAAAAAAAAAAAAAAAAUCAAACCAUUCUAUGUUUUACAUAGGUGGACUCUCCUAUCCUCUUAUUAUUAAGAGGAGAAUUCACUUGAAGUGUGUUAGGACCCUUUUUCUAAGCUUUUGAAUAAUGUUUAUUGAGUUUGUUUAGUCCAUUUGUUUAUUGAGUCGGUUUGGUUCAGUUAGAGUCAAGUAAAGGUUUAUCUAAUAUUUAUUUAUUAUUAGAGUUCAAGUCCUGAUGGACUCUGGGUGGAACUCUAUAAAUAGGGAUGUAACUGCUUCUUUUCAGUAAUCUAUGAAAAAUACUAUUUUUGUCUUUUGACAAACCCUAGGAGGCCGAUCCCCUCGAAGUGAUCAUCCCCUUUCUCUUCUUCUUUUUUACGAUAAGACUUUAGGGUCUUAUCAUUUGGUAUCAGAGCCUACGAUAAGACUUUAGGGUCUUAUCAAUUGGUAUCAGAGCGACGAUCCUUGGCGUUCUCGUUGCAAUGAAGCUAUCAAAAAAAAAAAAAAAAAACGAAAGAAAGAAAGAAAGAAAGAAAGAAAGAAAGAAAGAAAGAAAGAAGAAGAAGCAGCAACCGCACCACGCACCCCUGCUUCCCCUGCUUCCGGCCAGCCCACCUGCCGCCCGUCGCUGCUCUCCGGCCAGCAACCGGCUCUGCCCCACUUCCGGCCAGAGUCCACCGUCGCCUCCCACCCGAGCCACCACCGCUGCCAGGAGACGACGCUGCCAGCGUCCCACUCCGCCGCAGCCCUGCUCGUCUUCUCUACCGCCACUACAGGGCAACCCCUUCUCCACCGCCGUCGCUGCUGGGCCCCCUUGCUGCAGUUAUCUUCAUCUUAGGAAAAAAAAAAGAAAAAAAAAAAGAAAGAAAGGUAGAAAGAAAGAAAGAAAGAAGAGAAAGAAGAGAGAGAAGAAAAGAAGCCACAGCCAUGCACCCAUGCUUCCCUUGCUUGUGGCCAGCACACCGCCGGCCGUUGCUGCUCUCCGGCCAGCGACCGACCCUGCCCCGCUUCAGGCCAGAGUCCACCGUGGCAGUCGCCUCCCACUCGAGUCACCACCGCUGCUAGGAGACGACACUGACAGCGUCUCAUCCUGCCGCAGCCCCGCUCCCCUUCUCAACCGCCGCUGCAAGGCAACUUCUUCCCCACCGUCGCUGCUGCUUCCCGGUCGCUCCAUCACCGCCGCCAGCCUACCAGCCGCAACCCUAACCAAGCCCCCCCUAGGUUGCAACCGCAGUCGCCGGUUGCCGCAGCCCCUCGUUGCAGCGGUUGCAGAAACAGAGCUUCCUCUGUUGCCGCAGCCCCUAUUCGAUCGCAGCCACGCCUCGAGCGCCGUCGCCUUCCAGCCGACCCACCACCACUGCCAGCCACCGUGCGGCGACCGCUGCUCGCCUCCCAACCGCCGCUCCCCCUGGCUCGGGCGAGAACGACCGCUGCCACUCCCCCUUGCUCUGCCCCCUUGGUGACCGAAACAGGGCAAUCGCCUUGUUGCUGCGAACGGUUGCCACCACCGUCGCCGCUGCU
rnacentral:lncRNA from 1 species